AAUGAUAUAAACAAAGUUCAGAUCUGCAACCAGUAUAUCUUCUAUACCAGGUUUCAAUACUUAUAUAACCACAUCUUCCCCAGAAUUUUCAGCCUUGCAGCAUGAACCUGGAAGGAAGUUACAGAAAUCUUCAAAAGUGCAACCUCAUAUGAAACAAAGUAAAAACAAAAAGGGUCUUUCACAUACAUAAACCCUAACAAUUCAUCUACUUACAAAUAUAUCCAUCUAACAUCUGAAUUUCCAUAUAUAUCCCCCAAAACUACAAAAUACACUUAUCUUAAGUUGGGUGUCACCCAAUUUAUGAGGGAAAUUGGUUUUAUAUUAAGAGAAACUAUAAAUAAGGUAUUUUCGUAAAUAUAAGGAUAGCAUUUCUUGAAGGGUAAAUAUAUCAAAUCAAGAUUGAAGAGACAAAUCCAUUAAUAGAUAUAUUUGCAGGAUUAAACAAUAAAUAUUUUAAUUAGGGAGGUCAACAUACAAACCUGAGCAAUUGAGGCUGAGGCAAUGGGAACUGGAUCAAUAUACUCAUAGACACUAUCUAAUGGCCUCUGCAAUUCUUCACGCAAGAUAGCCUCAAUCUGAUUGAAAGCACUUCUGAAAUUCCUCUACAUAUUCUGUAGGAAACAAUGUUAGGUGCAGAUGCUAUGAACUGCACCUCUGAGUAAUCAGUUGAAAUUCUGGUUGAUGAAUUAUGAGAAAUUAUAACCACCAAGAUUUGUCAGUAAACUGGGUGCCACCUUUUCAGCACAUAAAUAUGACCACAAGAAAACAUAGCUAUAAAUUUGAGAAAACAUCAGAGGAGAAAUAUAUUCUCUUUCCAGCAGUGGAAGAUUAGUAAGCUUAUCGAUUUAAGAGAAUACGAAAUAUACCAGAAAAGAGAAUACAUUGCUAAAGUCUUCAAGCUACAAAAGGGGAAUUAAAAGUUAACAUAUAACAUGCAUCUCUUUACCUGGCCUAACUUGAUGUAAGUUGCUCCCAUGCGUUCAAAUAAUUUCCGCACAUAAAUUGGGGACAGCAAUCCAAGCUGCAUGUCGGUUGGUAGCCUCAAAGAAGUGCUUGUGCUUGUUGCCUGCAUGAAAUCGAAGAUAAAAGCUUUUACUACUACUGAAGUUCCUCUCUAUAAUUUGAACACCACAGAAGCAGCAUCUAGAGAUAAGUUUAUAAUACGUAUCAUGGUUCAUGGAGGGUUAAAUGACUCCUCUGUACUAAGAACUAUAUAUCCUGUUUGCCUAAGUAUAUUAGUUAUACGGAAAAUUGUCUAGCUUGCAUAGCUUAUUUGCUUUAUUUGAGAGGUUUUUAGUCCAACUCAUCAUUGGGCAAGUCCGGACAAACUGUACAGCCUUUUCAGAGAAAGGACCUUAACAUAAAAGAUAAGAUCUAGACAUAUUCGUUGCACCUCCCUCGAAAUACUUUCUUGGAGAGACAAUAAGGUACAAAAAAAUUUAAAUGAAAAAAAUUUAUUCUUUAGGAUUAGUGAAAAGUGCACACACUUCUCAGCUCAAUAAUCAAUUAUAAUUGUUUAUAUUGGGUAUUGACAUUUGCACAAAGCAUCUAGAUGAUUCAAUUCACCAAAUCAGAUAAGCAUUCCCAGAAAAGCUCUUAACUAAUGCAAAGAAAGCAAAAUUUUUACAUUGAUAAUGUUUCAUCUAUUGCUGGGAACUUUAUUUUGUAGAGGAUGUAUAUCUCUGUACCUUUGACACAUCAUUUAGCCACUCUGAACCAACCUCAAUAACAGCUUGGAUGACUUGGGCCAUCCUCAGUGCACCCCGAGGUCCUAUACUGAGUGAUGUUUGGAGAAUGUCUUCCACUAGCUUCGGCAACUCAUUUAUCUUGUCUGGAUCAAAAUAAAGCAUUAUACACAACUGUGCCUGAAAAUUAGGAUGUGCGGUAUAGUUAUACUAAAUCAACAAGACCAAGAUGAAAUGAUGAGGCAAUUUGACACUCUAAAUUUGAAAAUGUUGGCUUAUAGAUACUGUACUAUUUGCCCAACAUACAACUAUGUAAGGUUGUUAGGGAUUGAUUCUACAACAGUCACCCCUUAACUUUGGACUCAGGUUGAGGCCAGGCUAAUGUUGAAGUUUGCGCAACACCUCACCAUAUCCAAUGUGAAACAAUUGAUUACUCUAAAAGCUUAAGCUACUAAGGAAUGGUAUUCAUACAAUUUUAUAUUUAACACUUUCCCUCGUAUCUGGGCUCAAGGCUUAGGUCCAAAACCAUGAUAUAAAACUAAGUAAAUUUUAUUUAAACGCCAUUAAUUAUUAAUUAAUUAAAAAAUCACAAGGUAAUAUUUAUAGGACCAAAGUUAAUUUUACAGCUAGUGAGAUAGAACAGAAUCUAAAAUCCUGUUAAGAGUAGAGUGAUACUUUUCAAAACUCAUACUUUUCUUUUAUGAAAGUCAGUCAGAUAACAUCAUAUCUGAAAAAACAUCUUGAGUAUAUCAAACUGAAUAUGAGGCAAAAUUCUAGUUACUUGCGGAUAAAAAGAUAUUCACAAUCAAACAUUUUAUGAAUAAAAAGUCAAACAUUGAUCACGAUUUUGGAGGUCUAAAUAAUCUCAAGCGUCCCGAAAUUCGUACUGAACUUCCAACUUAGUAGGUACUAUUAAGUUCGAUUGUCAGGCCUCAUCUAGUUCUUCUGUCUGUAUAUUUUAACUAGUUCUUCUCGAUCCGUACAAAUAAAAUUAAGAAUCGUCUCGAUCUGAAUUAAUAUUAGAAGAUACAUCUUUGAACUUCGAUUCAAUCUGAAUCAAACUUAACCACCUAAAUUUUCUGUAUCAGGAUGUUCUCAUGUUAGUCACAACACUUUUUAAGAUGACCCUCAACUAAUUAAGAGUGCAAAUUAAGUUUGUCCUGUAGAAUGCGAAAUGCAUAAGAUACAUAAAACUGAUAUGUGAGAUGAGAUCUUAGGAUUUGGCUCCUAUAAGAAAUGAUCCAGAAUUGUAUGUACCAAACGAAGGUUAGAUAAACAGCGCCAGCAGAGUUUAGUAUAAACUUGAAAUAUAAAAUCGAAAGUAAUAAUGCUUCCUAAUUAAUCAACUUGGAUGAAGGCUUAUACAGACAUUCUUUAGAUUAGAUGUAUUAAGAGUAAAUUAAAUAGGUUUUCAUUACUCGUUCACUUACAUAAAGUAAUAACAUAUAAUUUCCUUGAAAUUUUGAAGCAAUUCAAAAUACAUCAUUAGACAAUGUUAUUAGAUCUCAGCCAAGAGAUAAGAAGUAGCUAACUCAAAAAUUUACUGUUAAUUAAAAAAAAUUCUAAAAGCAAUCAGAGUAUGAAACUAAGUGUUGGAGGAGGCAAAAUUUAGAUAAAAAAAUUAAUUAAAUUAGAUGGGGGUAAGAGGGGAAAGGAGGGAUGCGAACUUGAUGCGAUGGAUCUCCUCAAAGAACUGGAGAUCGUAGACCUUGUCGGUGACGGCGAAGUGGACGACGCCGGCGAUGUGGUGGCGCUCGAUCGAGGUGGUCGACGGCGACGUUGCGCCGGCGCACACGAGGCCUAGAAGAUCGAGGGCCGAAAAGAUCAGGGCGAAUACGAGGGCGAUUUGGGACUGGGAUCGGAGCUUGGAGAGGACGCGGAAGAAGAGGGAGGAGGGGAUGAGCAGAGGUGGAGAGAGCGAGAGCUCGAGCUCGCGCGAAGGGGGAGAGCUCGAGCUCGCAGAGAAAGGGGUGAGGGAGCAAAGGGAUCGACGCAGGGGAGGGGUGCGGCAGAGUGGGAUCGGGUUGGGUUCGGAUGAGGAUGAGGGUUAGUGUUAGGGUUAGGGUUGUAUGAGUGCUCAAAGUAAAUAUAUUUAAUGAUAUUAGUCGGUAAAGAUACGUAGUUUAAAAUAAUUGUCGCUAAAGUACAAAUAGAUAAUAAGUAAUAGUGGCUGUUCAAUAAUCGCCACUAUUAAAUUGCCGCUAAAAGGUAAUUUUGUUGUAGUGUAAUGUCACUAUAUUUUUAUCUUUAUACUAAAAGCAUGCAAAUAACAUAUAUCCACACAUUCUCAACUUAACUCUACAAUGCAUGAAACCUAUAUACACAUACAUGCUUAAGUGACAUUUAGACAUAAAAGGAGAUUCGAUGAAUUCAGGAAGCACUACCCAUCUCGUAGGGUUACUAGGGUGCUAGAAUCCAUGUUCCGGAAUUUAUAGUCGCCAAUCGCCCACGACCCUCGGUAAAUGAAGCCAAAACGGGGUUUUUCCUCAAUUUCUUUGCGUAGACUUGUCGGAUCCUCGAACCGAGUCUCCCAACGCGUCGGUUUUCUCACCAAGUAGGGCUACAAGAGAUCAAACCUUAGUUAGAUCUCAAUCCUAGCAAAACCCUAAUUUGACCCCUAGGGUUUCCAUUAUUGCCAAAUAUUCACAUAAAUCUCAUAAUACAUGGAGAUUUAUACACUAAUCUACCAUAAUAGCUUCUACAUAUCAUAACUAGAAGAGAUUAGCAUAAACCCUAGCUAAACAUCACAAGAACUCACCUUGAGUUCUAGCUUCUUCCUCCACUUGUUGCACAAGUGCUAACUCUACCCUCCAAUAGGCUUUCUUCUCCACCAAGGCCCCCCUCUUGCAGCAAUCCUAGUGAGAGAAGGAGAGGAAAGGAGGGAGAGAGAGUAAGAGGGGCUCUAGAGAGAGAAAGAGAAAGCUUGUCUCUUUGGGUCUCAAAUGGGGAAAUGAGAGCUAGGGCAGCCAACUCUCCUAUAUGGUCCCAAAAAUGACAUUUACACUCAGGCCCUUCAACAAUACACCCAACUGAACGAACCCACGCAUUUUGCGAGUACGUGGUCCGGACCUUGCAUAGGGUCCGGACCCCGAGAGCAACAUUUCACAAUUUUCGCAGCGAGGGUCCGGACAGUGCUACAGGGUCCGGACCCCGAGAUCAAAACAUAUUCAAAACACUCUAAAUUUUUCCAGAGUUGCUCUCCAAGGUCUUAACACCAUAUAUAACCAUUUCGACGCACUCGAAACCUCAUUUCGGUCAAUUUGACUGAAGUUCAGUACAACCUACCGAAGUUUCGGUAUAUUACAUAGAUAGUGGGGUCACCGAGUGUAGGUCACCUUAUGUAUGAUAAAAGAAUGUAAAUGUUUAUUGGAGAUGUAAUUUGGAAUGUAAAUGUAUUAGAGAGCAAAGGUUGUAUAUUGAGGAAAGAAUCAUGUAUUAUGUAAAGUGUAUUAUGUAAAGUGGAAAAAGCAUGUAAAUUGUGAAUGUCCAAUGUUGUAAUAGUUAGAAUUUACUUUCACUUGCUCCUGCUGCUUGUCCUCGUGCAAGCCAUAUAUAUUGAAAUUUUCCUGGGCAAUUAUUUCUUUAUACAUGCUUAUGUUGUUGUGAUUGAGCCUUGGACGGACAGGGGAGGCUCUGUCCGUUGGGCGUCUGUGCACGUGCCCAAACACCAAAGUGGCGGUCCCGAGGCGUUACAUCCAGACACGCACCGGGCGGGGUUCCGCUGGGUCCCGGGGCAUGACAGACUGCCAGCUGCAAGGAUGACGAGAAGUGCAAGCAUAUCAUUGCCGAAUUGCUGUUGCAACCCAUACCACACUUGCAGUACACCUACGCCCAAGACUUGUUACGAUACAAGGGAAGGAUUUACGUGGGGGACCAAGGUGACAUUAAGGAGAGAAUAUUAAGCCAGUUGCACUCAUCGGCCCUGGGAGGCCACUUGGGGGUGCGACACACCUACAGGAGACUAAACCAAUACUUUUACUGGUCGAGUCUCAAACAAGUUGUACAAAACUACACCAAGAACUGCAUGGUUCGUAUACAGAAUAAGGUGGACGGUCAACUUUAUGCUGGCUUACUUCAACUGUCACGCCCCGGGACCGGCGAAGGCCCUCCCGGUAGCGCGCCCAGACCCGCCAUAUGUCUACACAUAUAAGGCGUCUACAAUACAAGCGGAAGUAAAGCAAGAGAUAGAAUAAAUAGAAUGAACAGCAACUAAUGAUAUCAGAGCGAGUAAAGUUCUAUCAUUUAAACCAGAGUAAAAGAAACAUAGUUAAACCAUAAAAGAAAAUAUAAGUAGUACAACAUCGAUGUCUAGUACAAAAAUGGUGGUCUCUAGUACACGGGUAAACUCUCAACCUCUCACAAAAAGAAAUACAUCGAGAGGAAGACCACCUAAACUCGUCUCUCACUGAAGGGCUAACUCGAAGCAACGCCCUUCCCACGGUCCCUAGCCUCUCCCGGCGUGGAAGGCUCUGAAAGAAAACAUAAAACAGAGGGCGUGAGAACUAUAAUUUAUAGUUCCCAGUGGGCAAUUACUGACCUCAGCUCAAUGCACCACUAGGCCCCAAAAGGAAAGGGUAAGUCGAAAGCAAUAGUAAUAACGAGUAAUUUGCAUUUAUGAAAGCAUAAUGGAAAUGCUAAACUACUACUUGCAAUUAAACAUGGCAUUUAUGCAAUGCACAAUUAUCUUGUCAUGAAGGAUAUGUCUCUACUUAGGCAUAGAUAAUGUCAUGGUUUGCUUAAUGAAAUUAUGAGGAUUAUCCUUUAUCAUAGCAACAUUGUUUAUAUGAAUACAAUUAAGCAAUGCCUCCUAGCAUACUACAUGUAUGUAUAUAUACCCAAGUCCAAAUCUAUGCUAGAAGCAAGUACGAGUAAUCCAACUACUACUCUUUAUUUGGUAGUGAUUAUAACAAACUCAUCCCGUGUCGAUUUCCAUUUCCAAUUAAGGACCUACCAAAGGUAGUCCAGCUUGUGCCGCCUAAGUGCCUGUGGUAGCCCAACAUCCCUACUCUUGGAAUGUGUCUGUCCCACUCGACCCCGUAGGCUUCUCAAUACCGCACGAGCGAAACAUAAGUCGCGUAGGCUAACUCCGGAGUGCCGGCUUGUAGGGAGCGACCCUCAUAAGCAUGUGCGAGUGAGCACAAAUGGCAAGCAAGCAUAGUCAACGCCUUAAAUACCCAAUCAUCAUGUCUUUAACAUGGCAAUAUUCGCUAGCAUCUCGAAGAUCUAGUUCUAGGUCACAAUGUGAAAUUCUAAUAUUCACUAAGUCUAGUGCCCCUUUAUGACACUUAGACAUUUCGAUGAACAAGCACACUCCAACUCACUCAAUGGCACUAUCCACUAAAUUCACACAUAACCUGAGCUCAAUGCCCCUUUAUGACAUUAGCCCAAUUGUACACAAGUAGUGCAAAUCCCCGAGCCCCUUUAUGGCUCACAAGAAACCUUUAAAUCUCAAAUAGAAAUAACUUUAAAUGCAUGCAUGAGAUGCUCAUUUUCACCAUAGGAAUUAUGAUUCCAAGUCUCAAUAGGAUGCUAAACCUGUUCACGUUCCAUAUGCUAGCUCUCUACUACAUAGAGGUCCGAAAUUUUCACCACAUGUAACGUAGGGAAUUUAAGCCUUCUAAAAAUCAUAAUAAAUAUAUCAAACAUGAAAAUGCAUGAAUAAACAUUUAAUAGUACUCAAAUAAACACAAAUAAGAUUUUCUCAUUGUGUGGCUAGGUUAAACCCACCGAACCGUCGCGUGCUCCUUCGAUUCGCCGAACAGAGUUGUCCACAAGUCUCAAAAUACCCUAAAAGUAUUGAGCGAAGAGAUACACGGGCAUUACGAUCAACUAUAGGAUCAAACAUUAACCAUCUCGAAAAUAGGGUCAAAACUCACCUCUAGUGCAAAAUCUCUUCCUAAGCUCCAAAAGAGAGCUAAAUCCCUUCCAAUCCAACCCAAAGGAAGGCUCUAAUCCAAGUGAUCAAGCUCCAAAAGCCCUAGAUCAAAAAUCCCCAAAAUCAACCCUAAAAUCUCAUUCUAGGGUUCCAACACAUGAAAACCUCAAAUCCAAAGUCUAGAUGGAGAGAAAGGGCUACCAACCUCUAAGAAGCUUCAAUCCAAGCUCAAAGGGUGAAGAUCUUCUCUCUUGCAAGCUCCAAGUCCAAGCACCAAGCACCAAGGAAGAAGAUAGGGUGAGGAAGAUGCUCCAAGUCCACUAGUAGCUCUCAAACUUCUUCUUCUUCCCUCCUUCUUCCCCUUCUCCUUCUUCUUCUUCUUCUCUAUCAAGGGUGUAGAGAGAGUUGAGAGAAGAGAAAUGAGGAGAAGAGAGAGUGGAUGGGUCAUAUAGACCCUCUAUUGUAACAAAAUCCAACUAGGUCCCUCAAAAAUCCAAUAUUGCAACAGCCCGGUCUGGGCAGUUUUCGCCCAGAGGGACCGGUCUCUCCCCAGCAGGGACCGGUCUCUCGCUGCGAACCCGAGAAACCAACGUUCGGGAACCGGUCUCUCCCUGCGCGGGACCGGUCUCUCACUGCGUAGACGCGCUCGGGGACCGGUCUCGCCCGCCAGGGACCGGUUGCCUCAGGACUGCCGCAACACUGCUCACUGGGGGACCGGUCUCUCCUUUCAGGGACCGGUCCCCGAGAGUGAAAACUCUCAGGACUGGUCCAGAAUUCAGGUUUUCGAACUUUUUAGGUUGGAAAACAUUCUACGACCCUCCACCAAGUGUGGAAAAGCUCGAAACACAUCCAGUCACUCGAACCUCGCAAUUUGCAAAGGUCCAGUGUGCUACAUCAACCCCUGUCGAUUCCCACAAGGGAAUGACAAGAAAUUACUAUGGAUUUUAUUGAAGCCCUACCAAAAUCCGAAGGCAAAGACAGUGUUAGUGGUGAUAGACCGACUCACCAAGUAUGCCAAUUUCCUCUCCUUGACCCACCCCUUCACAGCCUCAAGCAUCGCGAGAGCCUUCCUCGACACAGUCUAUAAACUGCACGGGUUGCCUAAAACAAUACUGACGGACCGAGACAAGGUGUUCACAAGCAAGAUGUGGUAAGAAAUAUUUAAACUGUUGGGAGUUAAAUUGCUAAUGAGCACAGCCUACCACCCGCAAACCGACGGCCAAUCCGAGAGGCUAAACCCGUGCCUCGAGACUUACCUUCGUUGCAUGUGCUCUCAUCAGCCACACACAUGGCAUAAAUAGCUGAGUAUGGCGGAAUGGUGGUAUAACACCACAGCUCGCUGGGAACGACACCCUACCAGGCUCUCUACGGACAUCCGCCGCCCAAUGGUUUAGUCGUGAAUUUAGGAGUAGAAACCUCACCUACGAUACAAGAGUGGGGAAGGGAACAAGAAGGGAUGACACGACUGCUAAAGGAAAGACAGCUAUAAGCCCAAAACCGCAUGAAGCAGAAUGCCAACAAAAGAAAGGUACAUAAAGAAUAUCAAGUAGGAGAUUAUGUAUACCUGAAGCUGCAACCUUAUAGCUAAGUGAGUGUCGCAGUUAGGUGAAACCUGAAGCUCUCAGCGCGAUACUACGAGCCUUUUAAAAUCAUGGAGAAGAUUGGACAAGUGGCAUAUUAACUACAGCUGCCGGAAGGAUCGAAGAUCCACUCGGUGUUCCGUGUAUUAUUGUUGAAAAGGAGCCCCCAAACGAACUCACCGGUAAACCCAAUAGUGCCCUUGGUCGGGGAAGAUGGUCAGCUGCUCGCACGGCCGGAGCGAAUAUUGGAGAGGCGCAUGGUGAAGUAAGGAAACUGAGCAGCUAGCCAAGUGCUCGUGAAGUGGGAAAGCCUGGACGAAGGAGCAGCUACCUGGGAGGAUUAUUGGUUUCUUAAGUCCCAGUUCCCGAACUUUGAUCCGGAGCCCGAUCCGUGAGGCCACGGAUCUUCUAAAGUGGGGAGGAGUUGUAAGACCUAUAGAAUAAAUAGUAGAAAUAAUUAGUAAACAGGGAGAGAAAGGUAGCAACUUUACUUAGUAGAGUAACCGGUAGUCGCAAGAAAGAAAAUGGUGAGCUCGGGGAGAUGAUCAGGCUGAAGAUGCUUCGAGAGAGCUCUAGCCAGUCGUCGGAGGAAGAGGAGGCAUGAGGAAGCUAGGGCAUCCUCCAAACAGGGAAGGAGGAGAAGAUCAGAGUAGAGAAAUAGAUACACAAAAUCUGGAGUCUGGGCGAAGUAGUAAUACUUCAGAGACUGGCGGGUCAGAGGACCAAAACUCUGGAUCGGGGGGAAAUGGCGGACCCAAAACCCCCUAUUUGGAGGGUUGAAGAAAGAGGGCGCCCGCUAACCCACGUUCGACUACUAGGAUGCUUUGGACUGGCCGAGCCCAACUAAGGCCCAAGCCCCUACUGAAUUGAAGCCAAAUCGGUCCGAACCUCUUUUUAUCACUUUUGCGAUAUAACCUUCAUAGAAUGGCUAUUUUCAUUUCAGUAUGAAUCACUAGGCAUUAUAAGUGCCAAAUUAUGCUGUAAACAAAAACAUAUGGAAUAUAGUAAAGCUUUUUCUUCCCAAAUUCUCUUCCUCCUUCCCGUCUCUCAUCUUCUUCUCCUACCUUCAUCUCUCUUUUCCCUCUUUAACCCUCUCUUCCCUUCUCGCUCUCAACUCAGCCGACUAGCAUUAUCGGAGGUAAUUCUGCUGUUGUAACGCCAUCAUCCUCCCUGCCAUCCUUGUCUCGGCAAAAUCUCGUCAUCGACGGGUUGCGAGUUGUCUGGGGUGUUAUAUCCGGUCUGAAUCUACAAAAUAGAAAAUACAGAUCUAGUUUUGUAAAAACUCAAACUUGUAAAUUUUUUAUGCAAACUGGCAUAUUUUUUAUGCAAAUAGAUUAAAAAAAAGGGGCCAAUUUGCAUAAAAAAUCCACUAAUUUUAGCUUUUGCAAAAGUGGGCCAUCUUUUUCGUUUUUGCAGAUUCGGACCGAAUUUUCAGCAAACUGACCAAAAUAUCAGUUAUUACUUUUUCUCUCUCCUUUUUCUCUCUCCUUUUUUUUUUUUUCUCUUGUUCAUUUUUUUUUCUCUCGCUGAAGAGGCAGCGGAGGCAGAGGCGGAAGCGGAAACCGCUCGCCUCACCUCUCACCCUCAUGCUCUCGCCCUCGCCCUCGCCCUCGCCCUCGCCCGUGCACUCCCCAGCUUCCUCGCCUCCGACCCCGCCAAGGCUGCGCCGCAACUCUUUUUUUUUUCCUCUCUGACUCUCCUCCACCAUCUCCGACGACGACGACUCUCUCAUCCUUCCCCGCCAUUCUUGUCCUCUCCCUCUCCUUCCUCCUCUACCGCCUUCGCCGACGACGCAUCUUCGCCGAUGCCGGCACCGUGGAGAUCGCUGAGGCGCUGCAGCCUCGGAGCGUAGGGUUCUUAGCGGUGCUGUCGCCGGCGCUUGCAGAGACGGGUGACAAAAAAAUAUAUAGAAAAAACAAGAAAAAAAUAAAGAUAAAAAAUUAUAAAAAAAAGAUGAAGAUGAAAUUGCACUGUUAAAAAAAAAUUUACUGUUUUAAAAGAACGUUGCACUAUUAAGAUGUAAACUGCAGCUUUAAGAUAAAAAUUACACUCUUUAAACAAAAUUACACUCUUUAGGAGAUAUUUACACUGUUUCUCCUCUUAUUGCACUCUUUCAGAUGUAAAAUGCAUCCAUUAAGAUGAAAGUUACACUAUUUAAACGAAAGUUGAACUCUUUGAGAGAUAUUUAUAUUGUUUCUCCUCUUGUUGCACUUUUUAAGAUGUAAACUGCACCCCUUUAAGAGAUAUUUAUACUGUUUCUUCUUUUGUUGCACUAUUUCUCCUCUUGUUACACUAUUUCUUCUCUUAAAGGGUGCAGUUUAAGAGAAAAAAUAGUGUAACAAAAGAAAAAAUAUUGCAACAAGAGAAAAAACAGUGCAACAAAAAAGAAAUAGUAUAAAUAUUUCUUAAAGGGGUGUAAUUUACAUCUCAAAGAGAGCAACAAGAGAAGAAACAGUAUAAAUAUCUCUCAAAGAGUGCAACUUUCAUUUAAAGAGUGUAACUUUCAUCUUAAUGGAUGCAGUUUACAUCUGAAAGAGUGCAAUAAGAGGAGAAACAGUAUAAAUAUCUCCCAAAUGGUGCAAUUUUCAUUUAAAAAGUGUAAUUUUUAUCUUAAAGCUACAGUUUACAUCUUAAAGAGUACAACUUAUGUCUAUAAUAGUGCAAUGUUCUUUUAAAAUAGUACAAUUUUAUUUUAACGGUACAAUUUCAUCUUCAUCUUUCUUUUUCUCUAAUUUUUUAUCUUUAUUUUUUUUCUUACUUCUUUUAUAAUUUUUUUUGGUCACCCUCUCUGCCAACGGCCACGGCGCCGACGACGACGUCGCUAAUUAAGGAUCCCUCGCUCCGAGGCUGCAGCGCCGCAGCGACCUCCACGGUGUCGACAUCGGCGAAGAUGUAUUGUCAUCGAAGGCGACAGAGGAGAAGGGAGAGCUAGAGGACAAGAAAGGCGGGGAAAGACGAGAGAAGCGUCGUUGUCAGAGACGGUAGAGGAGAGUCAGAGAGGAAAAAAAAAAAGAGUCGAGGCGCGGCCUCGGUGAGGUCGGAGGCGAGGAAGGUCGGGGGUGUGCGGGCGAGGGCAAGGGCGAGGGCGAGAGUAUGAGGGUGAGAGGCGAGGCGGACUGUUUCUGCCUCCGCUGCUUUCUUCGGCGAGAAAAAAAAAAAAACAAGAGAAAAGAAGCGGAAAGAGAAAAAAGAGAGAAAAAGUAAUAAGGUUAAUAAGGGUAUUUUGAUUAGUUUGUUGAAAAUUCGGACCGAAUUUAUAAAAACGAAAAAAGUAGCCCACUUUUAUAAAAAUCUAAAAUUAGUAAAUUUUUUAUGUAAAUUGGGCCAAAAAAAAAGAACAAAAAUUGUGCACUAGCUGCACGGAAAAUUGCCCACUGCUCUCAAAUCAGGGAGCAGCGAGCACCUGCAUUUGAUGCCACGCGGCGUCCAUCGGGAGUGGCCCCAGAGAAACUUGCUUGGGGCUACUUCCCCACAAAAUUUGGGCCGUGUCUCUUCCUCUUCUCCUUUGCUUCCGAGACUCAAGAACCCUUGCUUCUGUCCCGUCUCUGUCUUGCCUCUAGGGUUCCAAAACAAUCAGCUUCCUCCUCUCCGACAAAGCUAGCGUUCAUGGCGGGGAUGCGGGUUCCGCCGCAGGAGGACUCGGAGCUCCCCAUGUCCCGGCCGCCGCCUCCCCCGGCUGCCGGCGAUCUGGUGUCGGACGACGACCGAUCGGUGGCGGCCGACUCCUGGUCCAUCAAGAGCGAGUACGGAAGCACCCUCGACGACGACCAGCGCCACGCCGACGCCGCCGACGCCCUCGCCGCCGCCAACUUCCCUGCUGCCAUCUCCGACUACAGGUUUGCCCCACCCCCUUCUUGAUCAUCCUUAUCUCUUCUACUCCUUAUAUGUUAUUAGAGCAGUGCGUUUAGGAGAAGUACUUUGCUGAAAUCCCUCCCCUCCAGCAGCUUCUCUGUGUGAGCUUCUGCUUUUGGAACGCAGAAUCGCUUUUCUGCUUCCCUCCGCACCAGAAGCUCCGCGCUUUUGUGUUUUCUUGCGAAACCCUUUUGUUGGCGACUGGUUUCUUGCUGCUGAAAGACAGAAAGAGUAAUGAUUUUAGGAGAAGCAUUGUAUUGAAAUUCCUCCGGUAGCAUCUCUCUGCACCAGAAUCAAAAGUUCGCAAUUUGGGCUCCAGCUUUUGGGCCUCAGAUCUCACUUCUGCCUGCAUAGGCUCCGUACUUUUCCUAUUGCCAAACACUCUACUAGAACUGCUAAAAGCAGAAAUCUAUAUGCUUCUGAGUUCUUUCUGUCUGUUUGAUUGUGUGAUUAAACUAUUGACAUUUUGAUCAAAUCUGAACUUCUUGAUUUGGAGUGAUGCCUGUGAUAAUACAACAGUGCUCGUGGAACAACUUAAACUGUGCUUCAUGCAAGUUGUCGUUCUUAGCAAAGAGGGAAUGAUUACUUGCUGGACAUCACUCAUGAUAUUUCGGUCCUCAUUUCGAGUAAUUGUUCUGUUGAUAGGUUCCAUGAAGUUGGAAAAGUUGCCUUGAAGAACCAAGACUAGGUUUACCAUGAGUAUUUUGUUCUUCUGCUUUUGCUUGUGCUUAGAUGGCCCUGUUUUCACGUGUGCAUGUAUUACGCGCCUGCAUGUGAGGAGCGCAUGCAUGUGAUUGUCGUUGCACCUAAUUCUUUUUGUGUAUGUGUUUAAUGGGAUAUGACUGGUAAAUUGCAGAACUAGACUUUCCUCUGGAUUGACUAGUGAGGGAUAUGUUGCAUGCAGUCUACUUUUAUGGUGCAACUGGUUGUUUUUGCUUCUCGAUAUCGAGGAAUAUCCACAAUCAUCUUGUGUUGAGCUUUCCAUGUUUUGUCUUCUUAUGAGCCUUCUGGAUAUCGUUGAAUAGACGUUUUUGUCUAAAUGAAUUUGUUGCAUUACCAUGAAAAUUUCCAUUUUUUUGCUUCUUAAGUUAUCGGGUGCAUAUAGAUCAUAGUAAACUGAAAUGAUACCAAUAUAUAUAGGGCCUAUCAAUUAGGCUUCAAUUUUAUUAGCAUUCUUUGAUAUUAAUUAGUGGUAUGCCAAUUGAAUGGAAUUCAUUUUGCAAUACCAUAUAAAUGAAACUGGAACCUCGCUUAUUAUCUACUUCUUGUGCAUCUAUGUUGUGCCCUUCUUUGUACUUAAAGUUAGUUGAUUAUGGUGGUACAGGGCUAAAAAGUAAUAAAAAAGUCUAACAUAGGGCUACAAGGAUAGGUUGCAAAUUUAAUAUUGUCACGCCCCGAUUCCACAGCGGAAGUCCACGGGGAUGUCAACAGACCUGCCGAACAGGCAGAGUUUUUCCUGUCUAGACGUGUUAACAUAACAUAACAGUAGCAAAGCAAUUCUAGAGAUCACAAACUAAAAGUUUUCCAAAUCACAAGAGCAAUAAUAAAGUCACUAAAAAACGAACUAUAUGUAUCAGAGCAUUAUAAACAAAACUACUAUACAUCACUGUAUAACAUUAUGUAGUCCUACUAACCAGAAAGAUAGACGUACAAAUAAAAGGCCAUGGCCAUCGCUGGUCCUGAUAUAUAGCAUAAACUGAAACAUCUAGCUGGUGGUCCUCUAUCGCUCAAGUACACUGGUAGGAGGUACUAUCUAAGAAUAAUUCCUUACCUCGAUCAAUAGAAGGUGUAGCCGUCUCUGAAAAAAAAUCACAAGAGGGCGUGAGAACUACUAAACAGCAGUUCUCAGUGAGUACAAUUGACGACAACCACGACCUUCCCACUAGGUCUACUAGAGGCAAGAAUAAUGAAAGAACAGUGAAGUAUACUACAGAAUGAGUAACUGAGCAUAAUAUGAACAGAUAUAUAAUUACUGAAUUAUCAUGCCUCUAUUCAUGUAGUGAAAAGGAAGGAAAGGAGGUAACUAAAGCAUGCCUCAAUGCUAAUCUAAUAAACAAAUGCUGUAAUAGUACCUAAUCGCAACGACCGACUUAUAGGUUUGGUAAGCCUGUGCCAGCCUAGUGCGCGGACACACUCCCGCAGGUGUAACGGCAACACCUAGGAUACUGUCUCUGCUAUCGUUGGCCAGCAUCCAGAGCAGCACUCGAGGGGAGCGACCCUUACCGAGUAUCAUAGCACGUAUCACUGUCAAUCUGAAUACGGUUUUGUAGGCUAUGGUCUAUGCAAUGCUACGCUUUAGCACGUAUCACUAUCAAUCUGAAUAUGGUUUGCAGGCUAUGGUCUAUGCAAUAUUGUAAUGAUAAAAAAGAUCAGUAAUAUUGAUCCAUGUGCCCUCGGCACGAUCAUAGAGCCUAUCAAUUCACUAAUCACAAUGGCAUACUCAUAUACCUCCUAAUAUCUCAAAAAUAGUGCCUGCUAUUGCUGCACUCUUCCACGGCCUUUAUCACAAGUAUUUUAGGAUAUAUAAUGCAAUAAUCAAUACAUGUCAAUGUCUAGUGAACCCUUUUGGCAUAACCUCAUAUAUGUAGUAUAUCAACAAAAGAAACUUGAUAAUCUCAAGAAACUAAACUGGUCAUUUCCAUAUGUUACACAUCAUGAAUCAUGUAUCAAACAUAAUGCAUGUAAUGUCAAUGGCCUCUUUCAGCUUAGACUAGUAUAUGUACCUUAUUACAUGAGGAGGAAUUCAUUGUGAAAAGCAAUUUGACCUAUUGUUCAUACAGUCUAGUUUAAGUUAGUACCCUCAAGAAUACAUCAUAUUAUCUUUUCCUUCUACUCAAUUCUAUGCCAUUACCACACUCUACCAACAUAUAUAAUCAUAUGCAUAUACAUAUGUAUAUAGAUAGACAUAGAAGGAAAUUUGCCGUUUUCGGCGACACGGAAUCCACCUCAGAUUGCUAAUCCACUAGCGGCAAGCAAUCAACCUCCAAUGCGCCUUUCCUCAGCUCAAAUCUAGUAGGGAAAACACUAAGAAAACACCAAAAUCAGCGAGGGUGCUGUCAAGGCAAUUACAAGAACGAAAUUCUAUAAUUUCGGCAAUUCGAUUAAUAAAUGCUUGAUUUUAGUUACCUCAACAUCCAGUAGGAAGAACUUUAAAACAACCAAAAGUGGUAGAGGAAUUCGGUGAAGAUCACAUAAUGCUCGGCUGGAAGAAAUGGACGACGAAAUCAAUACAAUUCUCACAAUCGCUCAAAAUCAGUUCAAUUUCAAUUAAAUUCAAAAUCGUCUUUCGGUUCAACUUACUAACUUGAAAUUUAGUUGUAAGGACAAGUCUACAAGUUCCCCUUCCCUAGUAGAACAUCAACACGAAUUCAGUUUGAUGCCUACAACUCAAAUACGAGAAAAGGAUGGAGAAGUUAGUAAAAAUCCAUCAAAAUCCAAAUUUCGGUUCGCUUCGAUCAAUAACUUAAUUUCAUUCCAGUUCACUUUAAUUCAAUCGGAAUAAGGUGCGACUAGAAGAUUAUCACCAUUCUCACCUUGGAAUCAAUUUCAAUUUCGAACUUAGAGGCGAAAUUGGACUAGAUUGGAGCCUCCAAAAGCACGGUGUUGCGGCUGCGAACCGACUACCUUUACUAUUGCCGCGCCCGUUACUGCGUCUGCUGCUGUGCUUCCUGCUGCUACUAUUUGCAGCCGCAGCCGCAGCCACAGCAGCAGCCCCUGUUGCUGCUGGCUGUAGUGGUAGCAGCCCCUGCUGCUGCUGCUUGUGGCGUCGACAAACAUUCCAACAGUGCCUGAAAGUUCACGGCGAAAAGCAUGUGAAAAACGGUUCCAAUUCGCAUGAAAUUCGACUUCAAUUUAACUUCAACUCACAACGAAAUCCAAUAAGACCUCCCAUCCUAGAUUCUACCAUCAAGAAUCAACAAAAACUAUAAACGAGAAAAUAACAAUUAUUAGAAUACUAACCUGAGCGUCGAAACACCAAAAAUCAUGCGCGCGGUUUCGAUCGGCUCAUCAAACGGCACCAAAACCAAAUCCUUCUCUCCUCCUCCUCUUUCCUCUCUCUCUAUGCGUGCUGGUUGGAGAUGGAGAGGAACUUCAAGAGAAUUCUCAGGUGCUUUAGUGGAAUUCCGCUAAAUGUAACAAUAUGCUAAUAAGUCCACAAGUGACCAAUACUCUCAAUUUAGUCCAAUUUCCACCUGAUACACUCAAUUGGAGCCCUUCUGUAGGUUGGUUUAUGCUCAAAUUUGAUGGGCAAUUUCAAGUAACAUUCAUUGGUAGUAAUUCACCUUAACCUUUUAGUUUGGACAAUUUUCAAUCACUGAAAAUCACUAAAAUUUCUAAAGGAUUGCUGUUAAGCUCCGUUUUCAUUGCUCGAGUAACCGAAUAAUACAAAACUUUAAAUCCGGUCUUAGAAAGUUAGUAUAGACAACUUUGCAAAGUUUCAUAAUUUUUUUGCCACUGUAAAUUUUCUGCUAAAAUGCAAGUUCUGUUCCUUGUAGAAAAUUUCAAAUCUCCUUUUUUUCAUUUGAUUUCACUACAAAUCAUUUCAAAUUAUCUUUUACUUCUUUAAGUCCAAUAAUAAUAGUAUCUCCCACAGUUUUUAUUUGCACUUGCUUAUAUAAUAAAAAUCCAAAGUACUACAAAUAUGGUAAGAGUUGCUCAAGUCAACCACCAGAGGAAAUCGUUAUAGGAAUUAAUUUCUACUAAUCCACUGUUUAAAAAAGCGCGCCUAGGCGCAGCGCCUAGGCGCCUAGGCUCUAGGCGCACAAGCCAGCGCCUAGAGCAGCUCUAGGCGGGCGCCAUGACUCAGGCUAGCGCCUAGGCAGCCUAGGCGCGCGCCUGGGCCUAGGCGUAAGGCGCCCUCAAGGCGCGCCUAGGUAAUAUUUAUAGUAACGGGUUUGGAUCCAGAUUUUAUUGGUCUAACGGGUUGAAAUAUCUAAAAUAAACCCAAUACCCUAAACUAAACCCUAAAUAAUCAUCAAUUAUUUCCCUAUUCCCCUCUCCCUGUCCGCUCUUCCCUCUCCCUCUCCGCUCAGCCCCUCUCCCUCUCCGCUCGCCCGCUCGGCCAUCUCUCUCUCUCCGGCGCUCCCUCUCCGGUUGUCCUUGCUUCCGGCACCUCCUCCUUGCUUCUUCAACUCGCUCGCCUCUUCUUCUAUGGUUUUUUGUCUCUCCCUUGGCCUCUCUCUAGUUUCUCUUUUAGUUUUUUGUGUAUAUUUCUAUUUUUUUUUUUAAAGCAGUGCUUUCUAUGCUUUUUUUUUAAGUAGAAAUUUUCUGUUUUAUUUUUUAAAAAAACAGCAUUUUACUUGAAAAUAAAACAGCAUUUUAACAUUUUAAAAAACAGCAUUUUACUUGAAAAAACAGCAUUUUACUUGAUAACCUUUAUGCAUAUUACUUUUUUAUGAUCUUGUGCUUAUGAUUAUAUGCUUUUCACAUCUAACUUUUCUAUAUGUUUGUGAAUUAAUACUUACAUUUAUGCUGUCCUUUAUUUUGAGAUAAAAAGAUAAUUUGUUCUUUACUUUUAUCUAUAUUAUUUAGAUAACUAUAGAAUAUUUAUUGUGGUAAUAUGAUUUUAUAGAGUAUAUUUAAUGCUGCUUAACAAUUAGUAGAAAGAAUGGUAAGAAACUUCUUGAUUAUUUACUUAUUUCAAAAUUUUAUGAAAGUGUGCGCCUGACCUCUCUCGGGCGCGCGCCUGCGCCUUUCGCCUUGCGCCUAGGCUCCAACAGGCCUUUGCGCCUAGAUGCGCCUUGGGCUUUUUUAAACACUGUACUAAUCUAAUUUAAAUAUAGAUCGAAAGUUAUUUCCCUUCAUUGCAUAUCUGCAAGGUUUUGAUGAUCUAGCAUAAAAAGGGAUAGCUAGUGUUAGAAAGGAGAUAAAUGAGGUAAAGGAGGAAAAAGAGGAUAGGGAAAAUGCUCCAAUGUGGCGUAGAAAUUCAUUCGUGGAUAGAAUCUACUAUAAUUUAAUGAAAAUCGGCUGAAUAUGUAUAGUCCCAUAUUCAAUGUGUCUUCACACUGCUUCUCCAUUGUUGCAACUCUUCUAAUUGUGGAAAAUUCUUUGGAAUCCCUUCGUAUCUCGUAUAAUGAAUUCUAUCACUAUUAAUAUCAUAUAAAACUCCUAUCUACAAAAAUAGCUUCAUGCGUAUCUGAUAUGUCUAAACUCAUUUGCUAGCUGUUUGCAUAGUCCCACUUGAAUCUUAACUUUCGAAAGGAAACAACCAACACGUCAUUACUCAGUGGCUUCCAGCCACCAUCUAGUUGGCAAGAACUCAAUCUAAACUUCAUUUUGUAACAACAAUGUAUGAUAGAAGCAAGGUUUGCUGUGCCAACUAUCUGGCACGGCCAACACGUGCCACCAAUGCCAACCGUUUUGACAUAUAAAAUGUGAUGUGUACGGAGGUGUGCCGACGUGCCGUGUCAUGUUGCUGGCACACCGUCAUGCCCUAUGCUGGUGGCGUGGCAAUCCUUGGGUAGAAGUAUGAGAUAUAUUUGAUAAUAGAAAUUAUGCGUUGAAUCAAUUGGAUGCAAAUUAUGAAAGCGUAAACUACUUUUCAACAAAUUUAAUGUGUAUCGAUUUGAUUUUAGUACGUAUUCUUGGCCAUCAUUCUCUAUGUUUAACUUCCAUGUUUGAUUAAUAGAAUUUCUCAGUUGAACAAGGUCUUUAUUAGUGCCAUGUACACAUGAUAAUUGUUUUGAUCUUCAAAGCAUAACGGGCUUUGAAUCAAUUCCUUAUACAGUUGAAUUUUCAUCCUCUGCAUUAUCAAUAGAAACCCUAGACUCACGUAUGCUAGACCCACUGUUUAAAAAAGCGCGCCUAGGCGCAGCGCCUAGGCGCCUAGGCUCUAGGCGCACAGGUCAACGCUUAGAGCAGCUCUAGGCGGGCGCCAUGACUCAGGCGCGCCCCUAGGCAGCCUAGGCGCGCGCCUGGGACUAGGCGCAAGGCGCCCUCAAGGCGCGCCUAGGCAAUAUUUAUAGUAACGAGUUUGGAUCCAGAUUUUAUUUGUCUAACGGGUUGAAAUAUCUAAAACAAACCCAAUACCCUAAACUAACCCUAAAUAAUCAUCAAUUAUCUCUCUAUUCCCCUCUCCUUGUCCGCUCGCCCCUCUUCCUGUUCGCUCGCCCCCUCUCCCUGUCCGCUCGCCCGCUCGGCCAUCUCUCCCUCUCCUGCGCUCCCUUUCCGGUUGUCCUUGCUUCCGGCACUUCCUCCUUGCUUCUUCAACUUGCUCGCCUCUUCUUCCAAGGUUUUUUGUCUCUCCCUUGGCCUAUCUGUAGUUUCUCUUUUAGUUUUUUGUGUAUAUUUCUAUUUCUUUUUAUUAAAGCAGUGCUUUCUAUGCUUUUUUUUGAAGUAGAAAUUUUAUGUUUUAGUUUUUUAAAAAACAGCAUUUUACUUGAAAAUAAAACAGCAUUUUAACAUUUUAAAAAACAGCAUUUUACUUGAAAAAACAGCAUUUUACUUGAUUAUUUACUUAUUUCAAAAUUUUAUGAAAGUGUGCGCCUGACCUCUCUUAGGCGCGCGCCUGCGCCUUGCGCCUAGGCUCCAAGAAGCCUUUGCGCCUAGGUGCGCCUUGGGCUUUUUUAAACACUGGCUAGACCUGAACCUAGACAAAUCUAUGUUGAUAUUGAGUUGCAUAAGUAUUUAUUGCGAAUGCAAGUCCUAAAAAUUUAGAUGAAUCUUCCAAAUUUUCAUAAAAAAUAAAAAAAUAUUUUUUUUUGUAAUUUUUUAUCUUGUAAUUUUUAAAAUAUUGAAAAAAUAGGAAAAAAUUGAAAGAAUUUUCAAAAUUAAUCAAUUUUUAUCAUAAAUUUGCUUAAUUUAUUUAUCGUCUAAUUUAUUGUUAAAUUUUUAAGGAUAAAUCUUACAGCUUUUAUUACAAAUAAUUUUUAAAAAAUAAUUUAGUACCGUCAUAUAUUAGAUCUUAUAGAUAUUAAGAAGCCUAACACUGUAUUAAUUAGCAAGUGUAAUAAGCUAUUGUUGCCAACAGGAUGAGACAAAUUAAUACAUUGCCAAAAUUCAUAAAUAUUAUCUUAAAACUUUCAAAAUAACAUUAUAAGAUGUUAUUAAGAUUAAAAAACUAAAAAAAGGUUGCGCCAAAGCGUGCAACUAAGAUGAUGUGCCUGCCAAUAGACACGCAAGUGUGCCACAUGUUGGCACAGGAGCGUGCCGGACCUGCCGGUGCCAUACCGUGUCGGGCCAGUACCGACACGCCCUAGUGCCACGGUACUUUAAUCCUCGGUUGGUGGCAUUUAAUUUUGGGAAAAAUGUAUGGAGACCCUUUGAACUUUAGCUUUUUUGCAAAUAGGCUCCUGAACUUUUAUGUUCGGCAAUCAGAUCCCCUAAACUUUACCAAAUAGUUUAAUAAGCCUCUCUCCUCAACCGUAGUUAUUAAAUAAUUAUACAAUCAUUUUGAUCAUAUAUCAUACACAUGAUAAUCUUGUAAGACUUCAAAGUAUAAAAAAAAUUAUUUUUUCUCUUCCAUUUUUGAUAAGCAUAAGAAUUGAAGAAUAAGGUGAAUCUAACUUCGAUUUUUUGUAUCUUAGCAUAUGAAAAAUGUUUUUUUUUCUUUUGGUGUGUUUUGAUGCUUUAUUGGAUUAUAUGCGAAAAGACAUUAGAUAGACUGGAUUAGAGGGAUUGGUUAUCCGAAAAUAUUUGGAAUUGCACAAAAAAGAUUUUUUUUCGCAAAAAGGUCUAGAAGGUAUUGUUAAAAGAUCAUCAAUUCCUAAUGAAAUAGAUGUAGCAUUGGCUUGUUAGAAACCCAGUCUUUGACCCAGGAUAUGUGAUGUAUGUCCCAUUACAAAAUGAUCGGUCUUUUUCAAUGAAAUCAUUAUGUAAUAUAUCAACAAAACCCAAAGUCAUCUCGCAUCCCCUUUCAUUGUUGAGUGAAAAAUGGGAAAUCAUGGAAAAUUGCAAUCCUCACCACGUUCGUUGGAAUAAUUUCAUAACCCGGGUCAGCUGAUACACUUUAAAAUGGUUCUAGUUUUUGUAAUUAGAUGCAUCUCGAGUUUCUAAGAACCAUUUAAAUUUGACAGUGGUCAAAAUGGCUGUGUAAUUUAUAAUUUCAAUUGAGGAGAGGAACCUAUUAAACUAUUUGAUAAAGUUUAGGGGAUCUAAUGGUCGAAAUUGAAAGUUCAGGCGCCUGUUUGCAAAAGAAAACCUAAAGUUAGUGGGGUCUCUAUACAUUUUACCCUUUAAAUUUUGUAUCAGAUAUGAUUCAUUAUGGGAACAUUAUGGUAAACAAGAAUUUACAUAGGAAACUUUCUUUUGCUCUCUUUGACCCAUAAAAUUGGCAAAAGACAAUAAACAGAACUCCCACAUACAUUGGCAAAUUUGGUAAAAUUUGCUCCACCUGCAUGUCGAAUAAGAGUGAUUCCUAAUACAAAAUGCUUACGUCGCAAACUAGGAUAAUACUAUUAUGGAUCCUUUAGUACUUCGUUGUGUUGUAUCAAUAUCAACUAGGCGAAUUAUAAUCACAACUUUUCUAUUUUGUAUUGCUCUGUUCCAUUGCUAACCAAGUAUACAAUCCUACUUUUGGUUUCCCUUAACCUCGUUUCAUUUUCUUUUGUUGACGAAUGGUUUAUGCAUCACUUUUUGAAAUCUUGGCUCUUCUCUUCCUUUUUAUAUGUUUAACAAUUUGUUGAUGUUAUUUCCUCUUAUUUUGGAAGUUCAUUUGAAAAUGCUUCAUUCUUCAAUUUUCUAAGCUUGGAAGUGAGAAUUUUAUGAGAAUUUUGGAUAACAAUCAUAUUACAUCUUUUUUAAUGUGUUCUGCUAUGUUAUGCUUUUGGAACAGUUCUGAUAAGGAUGAGACAGAUGCCAAUGAUGUCGAAGCAUCAAUGCUAGGCUUACAGAGCUACUGGGAUGCUUCUUAUGCAGAGGAUCUAGCAAAUUUUCAUGAGCAUGGACAUGCUGGCGAAAUUUGGUACUUAUUUGUACAUUUUCAUGAGCAUUCAUAUAUAUCCAUACCUUUACUGUAGAAGUUCUGCGCCUACAUGAUCAUUUGUUUAUGUAGCUUCAAGUAUAGGAUCUUCACUCAAAACCUAUUAGAAUGAUCACUUCUUAGUAUGCUCCUUCAGAUACCUGUUGUUUUAUAUGCAUGAUGAAUAAUGUUAUGACCAUAGAGUGGUUCUUUAUCUUUAUAAAUUAAAAUAUUCUAAUAAAUACCCUUCCUACAGCCUGAAAUUUCAUCGCUACCCUUUCAAAGUUGAAAAUGUGAUCAAUGCCCAUCUAUAUUGUCACGCCCGGGCUCCAGCGGAAACCAACCCGGCACGUGCACAGACCCGCCGUUUACACAAGGUACCCCUCUGGUGCACACAAGGUGUCAACUACAAAACAUUCAAUAGAUAAAAUAAGAAAUAUAACAGUAGCAUGAUAAUCAGAGCAUAAGUAUAAAACUAAUCCAUAAAACAAAAAUUUACUAAAGGGAAAAAAAAGAAGUUAAAACAACUGUCUCCAAAAAUAUACAUCAUGUCACCACCAAAAGAUACUAGGAUCAUAGGGUAGUCUCUAUAUAUAAUGGUUAGGUACACCUCUCGAAGCUAAACAAAAGAAAGGUGUCCACGUAUGCAGGUAUCUCCCGAAAGGCUCUAGCUAGACGCGACUCCUUUACUGCGGUCCCUAGCCUCUCCCGUAGUGGAAGGCUUUGAAAACAAAAACAACAAAUAUAUAGGGGUGAGAACUAUUAAACAAUAGUUCCCAGUGGGUAAGUUGCCGAGAAAAGCGGAUUACACCACUAGGUCAACUGAGGCAACAGUAGAAAAAUAACUAAUAGUAUAGCAUGAAUAAUCUGCGAGAAUUAACAGUUCUAGUACUAUUAUGCCUCUAAUUUAUUAUGUUAUUUAACAUGCAUGGAAAUUACUUUAUUACAUGAAUGAGCAUUAAAUGACUAAUGCAUAUGUUCAAUGUCAUGCACUAUCUAGUAGUAAUGUCCAAUCAUUAAGUUUAAUUGUCAUUACCCAAAUCAACGAGAACUUACACAUGGUAUAGUCCCGGCUUGCGCUAUGCCUAAUGUCCCCGUGGUAGUCAACAUUCUCUCGCUAGGAAUGAGGCUCGUCCACGGCAAUCCACUUUGGCGUCCAAUCUCGCACCGGCGAGCAUGAUGUCGCAAAGGCCAACUCUGGAGUGCCGACUUAUAGGGAGCGACCCUCACAAGUUUGUGCGAAUGAGCACAAUGGCAAGCAAGCGUGAUCAUCAACAUAGGGAUCUCGUUCGUCAUGUCUAAAACGUAGUAUGUCAACUAGCGACCUAGAGGUCGAGUACUAUGUCAUAAUAUUGAAUUCUAGUUGUUCAACUAAGUUAAGUACAACAUGUUUCAGUUCAUAUUUUGCCACUACUAUACUAUAUGUCGUAUUUACCUUGUCUAUAACAAGUAUGUUGAUUAUCAUGCAAGUUGAUCCAUUAAUUUCACUAACCAUAUAAGGUCCAAGAGACAUCAUUUACUCAUCUCUAAUAUGCUUUCUAUUGUUGCAUAAGAGGAAAACACCAUUAUGUACUAUUUAGUAUACAUAUCCACAUUAUAACCCUUUACGAUAUAGAGUAUAAAACCCCUACAUGUAACAUGUGUAUAUCAUGCAUUCAAAAAUUCUAUUAUGUCAUAACUAGCAUGAAUAUGCAUCAGUUUAAGUCUUAAAGCAAAGUAAAAGAUAUAGAGGGAGUUCACCCAUUUCGGUGAGGUCAAACCCACCGGAUACCCUUCGAAACUCGUUCGUUUCUUCGAACAAAGUUGUCCACUAGACUUCUAGCACCCUAAGAAAAAUUCUAAAAGGGUUACAAGGUUCUAACAAACUUCCCACGAAAUUCACCAAAAAUCACACAUAAAAUAGGUGAAAAAUAUCUUUAACCAAGAAGAACUUGUCCAAAGUCCAAAUCAAAGCUACAAACCUUCAAAUCCAACUUAAAAGAGAGUUCUACACUCAUUAAUUUAACCCCAAGGGCUAAAAAUCAAGAAAUCCCAAAAUAAAUCCUAGUUUUUUCAAAACUAGCUUUUCUUCCACAAUCUUUGCAAAAUCCACAAUCAAAGGUAGUAAGAAGACUACUAAUCUCAAUAAAAGCUCCAAACUAAGCUAGGCAAAGCUUGGGUUGGAGUUAAUUCCUCAAACAAGCUUCCUUCCUCACUCCCAAGCCUCCUUCAAGGUCCAAGUAGCAAGUUCCAUGGAGAGGAAGAAGAAACAAAAGAUCAAAACGCAAUCUAAAAGGGUUUGGAAGUAGAAAAUUCAAGAGAGAGGGUGAGGAAAUACCUACCUAUUCCUCUCUCUAACUUCAACACGAAGGCUGAGUGAAUGAGGGGUGAAGAGGUAUAUACAUGCUGUGACAAUCCCCAUUAGGCCCCUCGACAACUCACGAUUUGCAUACUGCACGAAAUCACACUCUGCAGCAUUGAGUACCGGUACUCCUUAGUUCCGGUAGCAUGGGUGCAGUUCCUCAGAACCCGUACGUUGGAAAUUCUGGUUUAUAACUGCGUUCCGGUACCAGUCCAAUGCAGUACCGGUACUCGGCCCGGUACCGGUACUUACAAUCCGAUUCAGCAAAACCCGAGAGCUACUCAUUUCAACACUAUUGGGUUCCGGUACCUCAACCCAGUACCGGUACUCAACACUAAAAUCUGUAGUUUAUAGAUUUUAAUGUUGGAAACCAGUUCUCGUGCCUAAUAAGCUCCAGAAAUAGGCCGACACUCAACCAAAAACCCUCAAAACCUCCAAAAUAGUUUAAAAUACUAUUCUUACACUAGAACCUUGUAAUUUGCUAAAGUUCAGUGUGCUACAUAUAUACACAUAAUCUUUACAAAUACCCUUAUGGGUGACAAUCCGCCCAAAACUAUGUUGUACAUAUAUGGAUACGACAUGAUAUGGAUAUGGUGAUAUGACAAUUCCUAAAAACUCUAGGAUUCGAUACGAUACUUGAAUAAAAUUUUAUUUUAAAUAUAUAUUAAUUAUAUGUAAUAUUGUAAUGACAUAUUGAGGACAAUCAAAAUAUCUAGAUUAUAUUAAGAAAUAUAUACCGAUAUACAUUUACUUGUACAAUUGUUCGAGAUUUGUUCAUCAAAAAAAGAUAAUCAAUCGUAUGAAAGAAAAAAUUGAAAAAAUAUUUACCAACUAUUAUCCAGCUUGAUUAAAUAAUAACAAUAGAUAUUUGAUUGCAUAAACUAGAUAAUAGUUACUCAUCAUAUAUGUCUAUUUUGUUUGGUUCCAUUAUAUAAAAUAGUAAUAGAAGAAAAUAUGCUAGCAUUUUAAUAGAAGCAGGAAAAAAAAACUCUUGUGGCCAGAAUCAUUGCUUAAUACUGUGUGGAUAUAGAGUGAGAGAGAGCAUCUUCCACUAUCCAAGAGCAAAAAAAAUAGAAAAAAUGAUGGAUUGAACAGAGAUUGGCAUUUUCCUCAUUGUUUUCCUUAUUUCCAAUGGGUUAGGAUGUGGGCUUUUUGAAAAAUUUUGAGUUAUGAUCAUUUUAGAUGAAUAAAGAACCUAGUCAUAUCCACCUUGUAUCCCAGCCGUAUCCGAUUUUUUUUCUAUUAUUAAAAACUGUCAAAAAUUUCAAUCCCAUAUCGGACGCGUAUUGGGCACGUACUAGUAUCCGAUGUGUUCAAUACAGGAACAUCAUAAAAUUUGAAGUAUCUGCGCAUCAUAGGCCCAAAACUAAUUGAACAAAUUCUAAGUAUCUAUUUUCCAAAUAGCACUUUUAAUAAUGUCCUCAAAUUUACAACUGAUAAUUACUUUAACACUAUUAUUAUACUAUUAAUGUUUGAUUUAAGUACUGAUGAACUCUAUUUUUUAAUUAAAUAUUCAAUUUUUGAGGUUUUUAUCUGAUGUAUAAUUCUUGUUUGAAAGUUUAGUCCAUUUCCUUUAUUGCCAAAAAUAUAAGGUUCUUUCAACGACCUAUAUUUUCUUUGCAAGUCAUUUUUUUUUUUCUUAACCUAGUUCAGAAAAAUAAAAAUAAGGUAAAAAAUCAAUUUUGGGCCCUAAAGAUAACCUAUGACUUUUCGACAUAUUCUGUUUUAUGUAAUCGUGUUUUAUACUUUCGUAAAAAGCUUAUAACAAAGAUAUGAAAAAUGUGAAGAUGGAAGAAUGAAGGGGUAAACUUGUCAUUCUGCUUGUUGAAUGUUGACUUGUGGUAGACCGCCAUUUUAACAGUGGUGAAGUUAAUGUCUGUUGAAUGUAAUAGAUGGGAAGGGCAUUCAGGAUAGUUUAGUAUAUUGAAGGGGUAACUUUUAACUUUACAAGAGCAUCAACGAAAGUUCUGAAUUUUGUAGGGGUACUGAUGAAAUUGCCACUUUUAAAUUUAAUUACUUCUUCAAUUAACAUUCAUUUUCUAACAUUAAAUCAUUUUACUCUUUAGAGAAGGCUUGAGACUAUUGAUUUAUACAUAAUACAGCAGUAAGUCCAAAGGAGUUAUUUCAUUCCAGCUUCCAAAGCAAGGUCUCAUAAUUUUUCUCAAGUUCUAUUCUCCUAUUUUCUUACUCAUAUUUUCUCUUCAUUUUACUAAUAACUGUUCAAUUGAAAAUCAAAUUCUGAAUCUGCUGAAACUUUAAAACCAUUUAAUUUUUCUACUUUGGACUUUUGGAUUCUUUGAAGCAACUGUGAAGUGAAGAGACCUCAAGAAGCCAGCCAGCCAUGUCCUUAUCGAUCCGUAGAUGGUGCAAUAACUAUUUUAUAUUCUCAUAUGUACACAUCAGAUACUUGUGAUUAGCUAGUUAUUGAAGUGAAUAUGUUUAUAAGAAAAUUAAUAUAGCUCAGGCCUUUAUAUUCAUUUCUGUGGAUCUAUGAUGAUGGCUCAAGUUGGAGGUUUAUUUCCAAUUUUGGCUUCUCAACACUUGUUCUAUUUCUUCUUGCAUUUCAUACUGCAAAUUCAUUAAGUAUCCUCUGCAUAUUUCAUUAUAAAUGGUUACAUUUUUUUACUGUAAAUGAGAUUAAUAUUCUUGCUUAAUUAAACAAUAUUCUAACAAUAACUCUACUUUCGCCACAUGUAUGACAUUCCUACAGUGUAUUUGUAGACUUAUCUUUAAGUUAUGUAUAUAUACAUAGACAAGGUUGUGUGUGUAGUGAAAUUAAGAACUAAACUCAGGUUCUUUCCAUUUAGGUUUGGUAAUGAAGUCAUGGAUACUGUUGCAACUUGGACUAAAAACUUAUGUCUCAACUUGUCCCAAGGUGGGAAUGCUGCUGCCCAAAGCAAUCACAUAUCUGAAUCUGGUGAGACUAUCAAAGACUUGUCAAGCUGGAGUGUGCUUGACGUUGGAACUGGGAAUGGCUUGCUUUUGCAAGCACUAGCAAAGCAAGGGUAAUCGGAAAUUUUCAUUCUAAUUUUCCUCAUGUUGUACUUCAAAUGUAACUAAAAUGUUAAAAUCAUUUGUUAUCUUUUUCCUUUUCUUGUACUGCCAUUUAGAUAUAUUUUUUCCAUUAGGCUGAUUCAUUGUCAUAGUCAUAAAAAUUUCUAUUAUUAAUUGUUUGGCUGUUGCACAGCCAAUAAUCUGAAAGCUUCCACAUGACAUCAGCCUGUCAGAAUUAGUGUUGAAGCCUAGGACACAAAAUCAACAAAGAUAGGGGCUCACAGCUUGUUCUUACCUCGUGUCUGUUAGAUUUUGGGCAUGUUGUGUGAAAGUUGUCAGAAUUGAAUGCUGCAUGAGUUUUCUUUGGCUGCACUCAUAUUUUGUAGUUAUAUUUUUUUCCUUCUGUUUGCUUUUUCUUUUUUUAUUUUCUAAAUGAAUUUGCGAACUAUUCAACAAUGACAAGAGCAGCAUUUGCCAGUGGAUUAGAUCCUAUAGAACUUGAGGGGAAAAACAAGUGAUGCAUAGUCAAAUGAGGCUACAACUUCUCGUUUAAAACAAGUUACCCCAUGAUUUAAGAAUUAAAAGGUGAAAAGUAUUCAGCACCAUGCAGGGUGAAGAGUGCAUGUUGUGCCACCAAGGUUUAAAGUGCCGUGGCACGGCGGCGUUCUACUGUCUGCCUGGCAUGGUACGGCAUCGGUACGCUUCCGUGUUAACACAUGGAAUGCUUGUGUGCCGAUGGAUACGCACGACCUCCUACUGGCAUGUUUUGGUAUGAACUUAUUUCAGUUUUUUUGGUUCCAAUAAGUUCUUAUAAUAUUAUUUUGAAAGAUUUAAUCAAAUAAUUAUGAAUAUUUGCUAUGUAUAGCUUACUAUUCACAUCAAUUAACAUAUUUGUAAGCUUUUUUGUAUGUAAAGUACAAUUAUACCUGAUGCAGAAUAGAAAUUUUUACAUGUUAGAAUUUUUAAAAUGCAAAGACUUUUUUUUUUUUUGACCAUAUUAUAGUCUUUCUUUUAUAAAAUACAAAAAAAUUAUUUUAAAAAUUAUUUGAAAAAAUUAUUUGAAAAAAAUAUUUUUUUAAUUAUUUUUUUCAAAAAAUUAGUAGAUCUAUCAAAAAAAUUAAGCAAUAAUUAUAUGACAAAUAAAUUAAAUAAAUUUAAGUAUCAAUUGAUUUAAUUUAGCUUUUAAUUUUAUUAGUAUUUUCAAUCUUCUAGUGCAAAAAUAAAAUUUUAUGUUUUAUGUGGCUCAAAAUUUGUUUAUUGAGUUCGAUUUUGUUCCUUUAGUUCGCCAAAAAUUUUGCGGUGCGACAAAUUUUGAUAAAAUAAUUUGUAAAGAAAAAAUAGAUAUCUGUGGUGGAAGCAGAGGGCUCGGAUAAAUCUUUUGUCUGUAUAUUGAUAAACAAAAAAAUUAAAUUAUAAUUUUUUGACUUACCUAAUAAGUAUAUUUUCGAUUUGUAAUGUCUUUGGGAGAGGCAUGGAGUCAAGGAUUUAAGUGCCGGGGCAUGGGAUCGUGCCGGAAAUUUGCUGGCACGGUACGGCACGGUGCGUGCCGAGCCGUGCCGAUGCGUGCCGGUCAAAAAAAUUCUUGUGUGCCGACACAUAAUAGCAUGAAAUAUUUAUUUUCUUUAGCAACAAAAUAUUCUAACUAUUUAUUAUGUCUUUUUAUCACAUCUUUUGAACUUUAUUGAGGAAAUUACUUACUAAUUUUAAAGAAUAGAGAGUUUUGAGUUGUGCCAUCGGCACAAGGUCUGUAUCGUGCCGGUAUCUUGUUGGCACGAUACGGCACGGUGGAUACGACCCGUACCAACGGGCAAUUAAAACCUUGCAUGGAGUACCAGAAUGCUUUGGAUAUCCCAAAGAACAAAAUAAAAAGAAAAAAAAAAACAAAAGCAAAAAAAAGCAGAAAAAAAAAAUUAGCACUGCCGGCACGGCACUGUGCCGUGGCACGCUGCGCCGUGCCGCUCUAUCUCGUGUGGCAUGGCGCUGCGUUCCGCACCACAGAGGGGGGGUCCGAGAGCCCCCCUACCGUGCCACUGCCCCGUGCCGUACGGCACGGGGCGGCACUUUAAACCUUGUGUGGCACAUAAUAUGCUGGCUGCUUGCCACACGUCCAGGGCAGGGCAAACUUGGAUUGUAGCGCACAAAUUUAGUAGCAUACAUUUUGGGACCUUACAAAUCAAUGACAUUUUACUCUGUUUCCUCUUGCAUUGUGAUUUGUACGUGUCUUUCGGACAUAUCUUUUAUGAACAAUUCCUUUUUGUAGCCUUCUUAACAGGAUACUUGUUUGAUCAUCCCACCUGAUAAGUUGAAAAUGUUUCAUAUAAUCAAAAUAUUAUACUUGUGUUAGGUAUGUAUCUUUGUAAUUUUUAUAGUACUUGUAUCCUAUUGUUUUUGUCCUAUAUGUUUUAAUAAUUACUACUGAAAAUAUUCGUAAAUUGUCUUAUAUCCAUUUCCCUUCUAUGUAGUCCAGAAAUUAAAUUAGUCAGUUAUUAUUUCCAGCGCUGGAAAGUAGGACUUUAUUUUAGUGCAUUUCAAACUUCAAAGGAAGAUGUUUGAAUGAUGUCAUCGAUUUUCACUGGCUAGUUGUAUCUUUUAAAAGAUUAGCUGAGAAAACUACGAGCCAUUGGCCUUCAGGAUGAAAUUGUAUUUAUUGUCUUCCGUUGGCAUUCAAAUGAAGGAUUAGUGGGAAGUAUAAUUAGUGUAAGGUAGCAUAGAAGAUCAUCUAGUUGCCAUUCAUUCUAAUAUGCAAUAUAUUCCUCUUGUUCUUUGAGUUGCUACAAUUUACUGAGUUAGGCAUGUUUUAUUUCAUCCCCACACUCACAGGAUUUACAUUUUGCACUCAAUUUACCGAACUAGGCAUGUUUUAUUUCAUCCACACACACACAGGAUUUAUAUUUUGCACUCAGUAUAUUAGGGGUGCCUUCGUCUUUUUAGGAUCUUUAGAAUUUCUUCUUUCCCUGUUUUCACUAGUAACCUGCUCGCGGUGAACAAGCCAGCAGCUAUAUUCUCCACUAUAAAAGCAUUUCUUUUGUUUUCAGGAAACUGGUCUUGGUUGUCGUUAUUUUGGAUGUUUGCAACCAAUGCGUGUUGUAUCGACCUUUAAAGUGCCUUCACUUUACUGCAUUUUAGACUAAUCCAAACAUUUUCUAACAAAUUGGAAAUUUCAUCGUUUUCAUUUACUUUUGUUAAUAGGUUUUCUAUCUUGUCACCUCAUGGUCUUGAGAGAGAGAGAGAGAGAGAGAGAGAGAGAGAGAGAGAUUGUUAAUAGACUUUCUAUAUUGUCACCUCAUGGUCUUGGGGGAAGGAGGGAGAGGAUGGUUCAUCCCGCAAUGCAAUGAGAUUUGUCAUUUUAUUCUUGCACAUUUGGCUUUUUGUUAAUAUUGAGUUGAAUGGAUUAAUGACAGUUUUCAGUUCCAGAUUUUCAGAUUUAACUGGAACUGACUAUAGCGAAGGAGCUAUUGAACUUGCACGAAGCCUUGCUGUUCGUAAUGGAUUUUCCAAUAUAAAAUUUGUGGUAUGUAAAAUUUUCUUACUAACCAAAAUAAUGGAAAUUCUUGUUUCCUUUUUUGCUUAAUGUCCGGCAGCCUGAUAUAUCAUUUUGGAAUAAGUUCACUGCCCUUGUGCUAUAACCACUGACUUAUGUUUGACGAUACCAUAACCAACAAGCCGAGACAGAGAUAUGUGCAUCAUUAAAAAUGUUUUUUGUUUGUCAUUAGAAAAAUGAAGUCAUUUUCAAAAUUGCUGGCACAUCCUUGUUGUUUCCAUGUUUUUUGGGUCCUUGAUAUGUCAUUGAAGAAUUAAGUUCUAAUUAUGAGCAUUUUUUUUCCUUCUGAUUUUGGGGCUUUUGGUAUAUAAAUCACUAUGAUGAUUUCUUGCUCUCAUUCUGUUUCUGAUAUUCCAAAUGACUGACAUUUGCAUAUUACAACUGUACCAUGACUAUUCGUUUCUGUCAAAAGACCUUUGACAUGUUUGCUAAGUGGAAAUCUGUCCCAAGCCUAUUAUAGUAUUCCUCAACAGCAAAAUUUAGUUUCAUCUUUAUUGUUCCUCAGCAGCAAAAUUUAGUUUCAUCUUUACUGAUUCCAUACGAUGUAUUGGACAAGAUUAUUUAUCUUGUAGGUCUUUAAUUGGUUAUUCAUGGUUCUUGAAUUUGGACGAAUGUACUAGCCUUAUAUGUUGUUUACUUGUGCAAAUUGUCGGAUGCAACUGCUAGCACCGGAAAGUAAUAAAAGUUAUGUAGAUUUUGUACCAAAUGUUGAUAACCUCAAUGUUUGAGAAAGUUAUCAUGUCGAUGGACUGAAUAUGUUUUAUACAAGAUAUAAGUAUAGAACAAGAUAACAUCAUAUGUUUAAUAGUCAGCCUUGCAAUUUUGGUGUCUUUUGGGCUUCUGCUUAGGUCUUGGAGGAUAUUGCAACUAAAUAGUUUCCCUACCAAAUAUGAUGCAAGAUAAAGGGAACUAUUGGAAGUGGCAAAUCAUACCGUGAACUAGUGUAGAGGCGGAGAUGGUGAGAGAUUCUCCUUUAGUUUAAGUCUACAGACAUGAGUUUGAGAGUAACAAUCUAUCUCUUAAUGAAAAAUAGGCUCUUUGUUUGAUUGGUUCAAAAGAGUAAGUAAAUCUAACAUGUUAAGUGGUUAUUAGGAGUGGCCGCAUCGUUUGACUGGUUAGAAUGUCUGUCCAGUUGGUUGUUACUGAAAUUGCAAAGCUUGAAUUUGUUUUAAGUCCUGAUUUGUUUUUUGCAUAAAAUUAUAUGAAUCAUGAAAAUCUUUGAAAGCCGAUGGCACCAAGGACCAGAAAGAAAUUUGAAGACAAGCUGAGAGGUUUGUGGAGGAUUAUGAUUUAGACAUUUCAAAAAGAGGUAGACAGUGAUUUUCAAAAAGUGGAGGAAGAGAAAGUAUAUAGAGUCCUCCAAAAUAUCUGUUAAAAUUUCAAUCAUAUUUAUUUUUUGGAUGAAAAUUUCUUUUACGAACUCUUAUCCACAAACUUUUUGCUAGAUUACAAGUCUUAAGUAGAUGGAGAAGGCAACAAUGUCAAACUAGGCUCUCUGCAUAUACUGCUGCAUGCUGAGAUAGUCUAUUGCGAUGCCUACUGGUCUGAAGUGUUCAAAUGUCAUUUUAGCAUAUUGUAUAAACUGUGGUCCUGCUUUCUUUGGUUACUAAUUUCUUUACUUUGUAUGUGAAAUGAGAAAGGAAAUAAUCUUAAGUCUAGCUAAUACGAUUAUAUUUGAGCAAAUUAUAUCCAGUAAUUGUUAAUCCAAUUUCACUUUGAUCCCUUCAAUUGGUGUCAAUUGAUGGCUCACAAUGUGCAUUAAAUAAUUCUUCAAGUCUGUUGUCAGCUUCCUCGUAUCUAUUAUGUCAGGAGAGUCUGGUGUAAGUUUGGUCUAUGUGCCUGCCCGAUCAACAUAUAUUUAAUUGGACCAAAUAGGUGAGAAGAUACUUGCAAUGUUAGUUAAGUCUAUGUGGCUGCCCGAUCAACAUGUUAAUUAGACUGAAUGGGUGAGAAGACACUUGCAAUGUUAACCUGUGGUGCUAUGUGACCAUCCAAUUGAAAACAAGUUUCGAAUGUUCGACAGGCACCUUUCUGUCACCAAUAUGAGCCAAUUAAACACUAACUUUGGAAACCUCGUAUUCUAUGUUUUAAUGACAUCUACUUCCCCGAGCUCUCAUGGGCUGGAGCUGAUGUUGUGAAUUAGUUGAGUCACUUAACAAAGUUUAGUCAUCAAGUGAAACAAGAAAAGUACAAUUCAACGCAUAGGUAAGAUAUUUCUUGCGCAGCUUUCUGCUGAGUAAACCCUCAUGCAUCAGAAGUUCUAUAGAAUCUUAAGUUAGUGUACACUGUAACACAAGCUAAACUCUUAAUAUGAUGGUACUGUAUGUUAUUUGCUUGUUCUCCCUAUUGCAUUCAAAACUUUGCACAAUUUUAUGAAUCUGUAUGCAUGAUAAUCUGGAUGGCUGUUUAAUACCUGGCAACAGUUGUUUCUGCUUUCAGACUAUUUCAUCUAUGUUUUCUUUGGACGUCCUUUUCUUAGUUACGUGUAUAUGCAUGUUUCUACCAGGUUGAUGAUAUUCUAGAAACAAAAUUGGACAGAAAAUUCCAGAUUGUUAUGGACAAAGGGACUUUGGAUGCCAUAGGGUUACAUCCUGAUGGGCCGAUAAAAAGGUGAGGUUACUAGAAAGCUGGUGUUUCCUAGCUUAUUUGGUUUCGUUUUUUGUUCUUUUUCUGCAUGCUUGUAGAAUGUUCCUGAUGUUCGCGAUGUUCCUGCAUACUCUACCACAAAUUUGAGGUGCUUUUGAGCUUUCUUUUCUAUUCCUGAUUAUCAAUUGAGGAAUAUGACCAAUAAAAUGCUGCGAGUAUUGGUGAAUAUUUUUGUGGUGAAAAUGCUUUCCUAUAGCUGUUGUAUUAUGAAUAUCGAUUUACAUAAACUCUCCUUUUUUCUGAGGGAGAAGAUUUACAUAAGCUAUAUAAAUAGCAUCGUAUGACCACUAGUUAGUGCCAGUGCAACAAAAGAAAUAAAUGUUUUCUGGUGGAUAAAAUUUGUGUUAUAUCAGUUGCUUAUAGUUGAGCGGGAAAUGUUAGUGUAAAUGUUUCUACUUGUUCACUUUGCAUUUUAUGCAAUCCCCUUUUUCAGGAUAAUGUAUUGGGAAUCAGUAGCAAACUUGGUUUCCCCUCGUGGCGUCUUGGUGAGUAAAAUUUUUUUGCUCGCCAAACUUCAAGCUAGAUGCUCCUUGUAUUCAUUUCACAACAUUGUUUCACCCUACUGCUAUGGUAAAACAUUUACAGGUGAUAACAUCUUGUAAUAACACAAAAGAGGAGCUGGUGCAAGAGGUGGAGAACUUCAAUGAUAGAAAGUACGGUGGUAAGGAUGCAGACCAAGAAGCAAGCGGUGAGCCUUGGGUCUUCCGAUACCUUGAUUAUGUGCGUAGUUACCCCACGAUUAUGUUCGGCGGGGUUGAAGGUUCUCGUGUGUGCACUGUUGCAUUUCUGCGAAGCUGAUAUUUGUAACAUGUUAUUGCCCUUUGUUUCCGGAAUUUUAUUGUGGGGGUUCAUGUUGCAUGUGCUUAAGUGUUUAUCUUUUCUUUUCUUUUCUUUUCUUUUCUUUUCUUCUGAUUUUAAGACCCGGUUAGAAGUGUUAAACAUGUAUGUUUCUUUAUAACAGAAUUAGAAGCGUUAAACAUGUAUAUUUUCUUUAUAACAGAAUAUUAGAGACAAAAUAGGGAAGAUAUUUAUUGCAGGACGGUUAUAUGAUCUUUCUUUCCCGUGGCUGUUGUAUGGAUUAGAUGCAAGAUAAAUUAAGGGCGUGUUUGGUUCAUGAUUGGAAUAGGAAUAAGAAUGGAAAUUGGAUUGGAUGGAAUGGAAAAUGGAAUAAUAAAUUAUCUAAAAUUAUUUGGUUCAAUAUUGGAAUGGAAAUUGAAAUAAACAUCUAGAAUUUUGAGAGGGCUUUGGUUGAGGGAGAGGAGAGUUGAUGAAGAGAGGCGAAAGAGAGAUGUUUGUGACGAGGGCUUUGAAUGAUUUACUUGGAUUUUUGUAAAAUAAAUGAAUUUAUUGAAAUUAAUGAAUUUUAUUUUAGUUUUAUUGUUUAAAUUAGGUGAACCAAACAAACUCUAAAUCAACUUUCCUAGGAAGAUGGUUUUUUGAGAAAAAGGUAGCAUGCAACUCAUUUUGUUUAUUUCUUUUAGAAAUAAAAUUUAUUGGUAAUAUAAAUCUACUAGGAUUCAAACUUGCAACCUCAAAUAUUAACCAUUAAGCUCUUUGCCAUUUGUGUUAGGGACGAAUUAUUAUCCAAGGAUAACUUGGUUAGCAUCCUACUGGAAUCUAAGACAAUUCUAUAAUUCUGACUACACUCCACACCCUGCGAUCUAUUCUACUCGAAAUCAAAAUAGAAAAAAAAGAGUUUAAAAAAAAGACAAGACUAAAAUGUGAAAUAACAUAGGUAAAUAUGUAUAAAACUUAUGUAAAUUAUGAGUUUUUUGAAUUAACUAUUCAGUUUUUCAAAAUUUUGAUUUCAUUAUCCAAUAUUUCAAUUUGUUUGAAUUCAGUAAUUUUUUUAAAGGAAAACAUGCUCUAAGAUAAUUUUAUUUAAUUAAUCAAGUGCUACAGAUUGAAAAAUCUCAUCUAUAGAGUACUAGAAAAAUUUUUUUUGCUGGUGAGUUUCCGUUGGUCAAGCAAUACUCGGCUAUAGCAUUUUUCGAAAAUCUCGAAGUCCAUCCAAACAUUAAGUGUUUGAAUCUCUAUGUAGAAGUCCAAAGCUUCAUGAUUCUAGCCUUAGCUUCAUAUAUUAUUGAAUUUGAAUAAUAAUUUCUAAGGUGCAAAGCUUUGAUAAUGAAUGUUGAAUCUGACAAGAUAUGAAAAGUUCCUCGAGGAUACAUCUGCCAAAGGAAGCAUUGUGGACUACUUGUAUUGCAUUAGAUAUGCAAGCAAUGGUUCCAUGCUGAAUGGUAAUCAGGCAUCCUACACCACUUGCCAUGCUGCCUUUUCCAACUUCCAUCUACCCACACAUAGUACGAAGAGGUUGUGGGUUUUUGAAUCAGAGUUGGAUCCUGGAUGUUGAUUCUCAUCAUAUUCUAGUUGGAAUAUUAAGGUCUUCCAGCUAUGAGCCCUUGAAAUGAUAUUAGUGAUUGAGAAAUUUUCCCCCUCAAAGAUCACCUCAUUCCUUUCCUUCCACAAGCUCUAUAAUAGAUGAACAUAGAAAGCCUUAUAUGAGUCUCUAUGGCUUUGUUAGUUAGGAUAAAAAAUAUCCAAAAAGAUAGAGCCUUCUCCGGAUUGAGUUGUUGGCUUCGGUUAAACCGAAUCGGGUGCGUCCAUGAUCAGAUUCGAUCUGACAGUUAUUAUAUUGUCUAAUUGGACUAGACUUAAUCUCACUUUUAAUUUGGAAAGCUAAUUAGAGAUAUAUCUUAGCUAUAUUAGGAUAGCAAUCAAACACGGAUUCAUCCUAAUUUUCUACUUAUCUAUUAAAGUGUUAAAAUCCAUUAUAAAUUUAUAGAAUAUUUUGUCAUAAAAUAUAAACAAAAAAAAAGAAAAAAAUAAUUUGUAGAUAAUUUACAAUGAGCCAUCUUGUGUGAGAGAGAGAAACUAUAUCCUCCAUUAACUAUUGCUUCUAGAGGGUCUUCAAUGGUGGAUUAUAGAUCUAACUCGUUCAUAGCUCUAUCUACCAGACGGUCUUCAAUGGUGGAUUAUAGAUCUAACUCGUUUGUAGCUUGAUCUACCACUGAUUUGGAGCGUUAAAAGACCUUCGUAGACGAUUGGAGGAUACGUAAAUCAACCUCUACGAUCCGGAACUUAUCACGUUCUAGCAUGAGUCGCUUUCGUAAAAAUAUGAACGAAUACUUCCGUUGUAUUCUACAUUAGUAUCGGAACAUUACUUGGUUGAUUUCGUAUCCUAGAUAAAUUUUUAACAAGAUUGUAUGUGUAGAUCUAAAGUUGCCAUUGUUUAGAAUUCUUUUUCCAUGUUGUGGGUGUUAAUGGCAGGGUGAAUAUAAUAGCAUGAUAUUUACACAUCUUAUGCCACUUAUGUUGUAGAUUAUAUGAGCAAAAUUUGGUUUGAUUUGAUUUUGUAUUUUAUGUGAAAAAUAAAAUAAUAAAUCAAAACUUUAUAAAUGGCUUGUUUGCUGUGUAGUGUAUAUCUCAUUGUAGAAUUUGCAUGGUUUGGUACAGCUCUUUAUAAGCCUUCCAGUGAAAUAGUUUAUGCAUGAUUUGGGCUUGUGGAUCAAAAAAUAUUAAAUUUCAAAGUUUCCCUUUUUAUUUCAUAAAAAAGGGUUUGCUGUGACGCAGUGAGCCACGUGGGUCCCUGCGCGCGAGGCCUGCCUUGGGCUUGGCCCAUGCAGGGCCGCCAAGGUUCUCAGGUCUGUGCAAGCCCGCAAGCCCGUGCAGGCUUGCAGGCCCGCAGGGGGCCUGCCCUACGCAGGCCUGCAGGCGACCUGCCUUGUCCCACCAAAAUUGGGCCUUUGCACAGUAAAAUAUUUGUUUAUAAAAUAAAAUAAACGAAAAGAGAAGGGAGGAAAUUUUGGAGAUAUAUUUUUUUGGAGCAUAUUAGAUGUUUGAUUAUGCCUUGAUGAUACACAUUGCAUGCAUUUAAUUUUUUUGGGGUAAAUUUAUUAUGCCUCAUGUGAUGUAUGGAUGAAGCUUUUGGCAUAGUAUAAAUUUUUCUAUGCAUGCUUAGUCAAGCGAGAGUUUGUAUUAAGAUAGAGUAAAUUAUAUGUUUUACUCCGUAAGCCCAUAAUUUUAUGAAAAAUUAGGCAUAGGGUGUAGUGUGAUUAUGAGCACAGCGAAAUUUUUCUUUACACAACUAUGAUCUAAUUUCUCAGUUUGUUUAAUUAGAGAUGCGGCAAAGUUUAAUAUAUGUAUUGUGUGCUAAUUUUUAAAAUAAUUUUCAUUUUUUGUGUACUAUGUGAACUUAGUGAGAUACUAUGGUGUCAAAAUAAGUUGUUUUUGAUUUGAUCGAAGGUGAGAAAUUAGACAGUGAUAAUUAUGAUAUUUGGCACCACAAAAUUUAAUAUGUUCUUGCUGAGCAAAAGGUCUUGAAAACUUGAGUAAUAAGAUGAACUAACCCACGGAGGGUAUUAGCAAUGAGACUCGUCGAGAGAUGGAACAUAAUUGGCUUAAGAAGGAUCGUAUUGCUCGCAUUACGUUGCUGAGCAGCGUGCAGGAUGAUUUCUUCUGUGAAUAUGAGCAGUACGCAACUGCUUAUGACAUAUGGGAGGCUUUUAAAACUAAAUUUGGUGUGACUUCGGCAGAAAGGUUGGCAGCCUGAUUAUGUGGUUUGAUAGUUAUAAGAAGUGUAUAUCGAACUUCUACAAUUAUGAAGUUUUGGUGGGCAUUAGCUUAAAAAGCUAUUAAAGUAGUUCCGGUGAAGUUUGGGGAGCAUUCGAGUGUUUUCGGCGCUAACCGGACGCGAAAACGGGUUUCAAAAGCUGAAAUCUGCCUAAGUUGCAGAUUUUGUAUUAAGUACCGGUACUGAAAUCUGGGUACCGGUAAGGAAUACAAAAUGAGAAAAACAUGCUCUCGGGUUUUGAGGAAUCAAACCUGAGUACCGGUACUGAGUUUGUAAUGGGUACCAUACUAGAAAUUGAGUACCGGUACGCAGUAGAAAAUUGGAAAUUCAACAUUCGGGUUUUGAGGUACUAGAAAUCGGGUACCGAUACUAGGUGCCCGAGUACCGAUACGCCAACCUGAGUACCAGUACUCAGCCCUGUAGAAUGCUGAUUUUGAGGGAUAGGUGGGUAAUUUCAUACGGAGGCAUAUUUAAAGGGGUGCCCUUCCCCUUUCUUCCGCAGAACACACACACAUGCACACUGAGGGAGAGAUAGGAGCUCAUCUCUCUCACUCUCUUCUUUUUUCUCCAACUUGGAGAUCUUGGUGGAGAUUGAACUUGGGAAGCUCGGAGAAGCAUGAAUCGAGUUCUUGGGCGCUUGGUAGCUCGGAGUGCUUUCGACUCGAGGUGAGUUUUGGGGUUUUAAGCUAGGGUUUUGGGUCUAAACCUUCUAAAUAGAUUCCUAUCAAACUCUAGGCUAAUAUAAGCUACAAAUUGUAGAGAUUAGCAAAUAGAAUUGGAUUUUUCCAUUGAGUUUGGAAAUCUCCAGGUUGACAGAGGGAUUUGUUUGUGGAGGGUUCUAAAAAUAUUUUAACCCUUUAAAACCUUAAUUGAGGGUAUAGAAAAUCAUGUAAGGCCACUUGAUUUCAAAAAGAAAAAUCAUUUAGUGGUUCGAAAGUGGUAACGAAUGGAUCUCUUGUUUAGGGUAAAGAAAGCUUGGGAGCAAGCUUGGAGAUACAAGAGGUUGGCGUAAUUACAAGUGUUUACAAGCAAUUAUGAGGCUUUGUGAGGUGGGUUGUGCUUCACCGAAGUAACUAGGUCGCUUCCAUGUCAAAAAAGUAAAGUAUGCUAUUAUUGUUGAUGCAUGUAUGUAAUGGUAAGUUAUAAGUUGUAAAUAUGAAUGCAUAAAUCAUAUGUUGCUAGAUGAUGUUACCUACCAUUGGAUAAUGACAUAGGCAUGUGAGAACAUAUAAGAUGGAUAUAUAUGUAUGCCUAGAUGUGGAUAAUGAACAUAGGCCAAUGAAUUGUAGCAAAAAUUACAAAAAUUAGAGAACUCGAUAAGUGUGAUUACCAAGGACUAGAUGUCAUGAAAUUGUGAAUCCUAGGUGUGGACAAUUAGAAUAAAGAAAGAACAUGAUUGGUGUCACGCCCCGGGACCGAUACCAAUUUGGGCCGGCCCGAGCACGUCAAACAGACGCCGAACGGACAGAGUUUUCCCUAUCCGCCCAAGGCUCAUCACAUGUACAUUUUCAUCAAUAGAGAAAAGAAAUAGCGGAAACAUAUACAAACGGCUUACACGAGGGUAAGUAAUAGCCAUUAGUGAAAGAAAGGAAAACUAAACAUUCGCUUGGACUAUGAUUCAUUUUUGAUCAUAUACGUUGUAUUCAUCUUGUUCAUUUUCGAAUUCCUUACAUUUCAUUUCAUCAUUUCUUUCUUACAUCACAUUUACCUCAAAAUACACAUUACAUUCUUUUCUCAACAUCACUAGUCAUCAAAUACAAAAGAUGAACAUAGGGUACUCUACUACAAAAUGUAACCCGACACAACUCUGGUNUUCUUUCUUCUUCUUCUCGUUUGCCUUCUAGAGAGAGAGAGAGGGAGAGAAGAGAGUGUGAGAGGGUGAGGAAAUGAGAGAAAUAUCUCAUUUGCCCUCAUACAUAGCUAUUGGGUUGCAUAAUUGCUAAUAAACCCCUCAACUUUCACUUUAAUGCACUGCCCGAACUGGGCUGAUCGCGCAGGCAGGGACCGGUCUCUUCUUCAGGGACCGGUUCCCGAAGGUCAUCCCAGCACAGCCAGAGCUGUUGCGCGCAGUGCAACCAGUCUCUCCUUGGGGGACCGGUCUCUCGGGGACCGGUCUCUCGGACAGGGACCGAUUCCCGAGAGCUACUUUCUCAGGACUUAGCCGAUUUUUCGGCGGUCUCAUUUCAUACGCGUUCGGGAACCGGUCUCUCCCACCAGGGACCGGUCCCCAAGAGCUGAAAAUCUGCAGUUUUCCAGAAUUUGAUUCUUUAGCUCUCGAAAACCGUCCACAACGCACUUUUGAUCGUUUUAACACCUUCUGACUUUCCGAAGUGUACCAUCCUCGCACUUUGGUCAACUUGACUAAAGUUCGAUAUUUAUUUUUCGAAUUUUCGGUAUAUUACAAUUGGGUAUUAGACUUAGUGUAUAUAUAUAUGUCACGCCCCGACACCCGCCUAUUUGGUCAGAUUCGGGGACGCCAACAGACCGCCGAACGGACAGAGUUUUUCCUGUACGUCCUAGGCGUCACAAUCGAUACAAUACAACAGGUUCCAACUAGGAACAACAUUCAAUCAUAGAUUGCAUUAGGAAGUAUCAAAAACAUAAAUACUAAGCUAUUACAAGCAUUCAACUCACAUGUAUCUUAACAUAUUACAUUUUGCUUACAUUCAACUUUCAAAUUACAAUCUAGUUAUUACAACACUUAAUAUAAGUUUGUUCUUUGUCUUUUAAACCCCUAAGUUAGACCACAUCAGGGUACCACUAUCUCUGGUCUCGGGGUAGGGCGCUAUUUACGGAGCUAUGCCCUUUCCUCGCGCCGCCGCACCGCUUGCGUGUGAACUUGUAAUCCCCAAAACAACGUGGUGUAAGGAAGUGAAUUCUCGAAAUUCGAGAGUUAAACUUCGUUCAAAAUCGACCAAGUGUCGUGUUGGUGUGCUUUGGAAAAGCCAAAGAUGACAAAAUCACUAAAAGUGCAUUGGAAACGAGUCCACGAGAGCAAAUAGUGCAAAACCUGCACUGGAGCAAAAUUGUGCUUGGGGACCGGUCCCUGGUAGGGAGAGAUCGGUUCCAUCGGCUGGUGGUUCCGGGGAUCUUUGAGGCAACUGGUCCCUGGCAGGGAGAGACCGGUCCCUGAACGUGAACCAAGCGAGAAAGCCAGAAAUUUGGCUAAGUUCCGAAAAUCCUGCUCUCGGGAACCGGUCUCUCGACGCGAACCCAGCGAGAAAGCCAGAAAUUUGGCUAAGUUUCGAAAAUCCUGCUCUCGGGAACCGGUCUCUCAGUCAAGGACCGGUCUCCCGGGACCGGUUUCUCGGGAAGGAACCGAUUCCCGAAUGCGUGACUCGAGCUGAAGCUCUCGGGGACCGGUCCCAGGUCGGGGAGACCGAUCCCUCUGGGCGCAGAAUGCCCAGUGAGGGCUGUGCACAGAGAUGAAAGUUGAGGGAUUUAUUUGGAUAUUGUUACAUUAGAGGGGUAUGUAGGCCCCCUCUCUCUCUCCAACCCUCAUUUCUCCCUCACUCUCUCACACUCUCUUGCUCCCUGUCUCUCUCUAGAAGGAAAAGAGAAGGAGAAGAAGAGAAAGAGAAGAAGAAAAAGGAGGAGGAGAUCAAGCUCAAGGAGCCUUGGAGCAUCUUCAUCUUCCUCUCCUCACCAUUGGAGUAGCUCUAGAGGUAAGCUACCAAACCCUAGCUUGUGGAACUUAAGUUUUUUGGGUUUUAAGCUUCGGAAUUGGGGUCAAAUGGACCCCAAGUACCAUUGUUGGUGGAUUAAAGCUAGAGUUGAGGUUCCAAAAUGCAAAUGGCAAGAUGUGAACCCUAGGGCUCCAAAAAAGGGGUUUUUUGGUAAGGUAUGAGAUUGAUCUCAUUUAAGGCCUUGUAAACCUAAUUGCUAGGUGCCUAAACGCGGGGGCGAAGUCGGAUUUUGCAUUCGUCAAGUGGGUCAAGAGCUAUCGACAAAAUAAGGCCGAUUGAGCAUCAUUUUGAUCCAAGAAGAUCGAGACUUCGUCGUAAAGUUCGUUGAAGGGCAUUUCUAGAGCCUCCAUAAGUGUAGUAGAGAUACUAAACUUGAAUGAGUGGCAUGUCAACUAGUUAGAAGAUAUUACUACAACGACUGAACGAGUGGCAUCUAGUCUAGUAUAGUAAACAUGACAUGGUUCUUGGGAUAGUAGAGGUGUGACGCACUGGACCUUUGCAAAUUUGCAAGGUUCGAGUAAUUGGAUGUGUUUCGAGCUUUUCCACACUUGGUGGAGGGUCGUAGAAUGUUUUUCGAUUCAAAAAGUUCGGAAACUUGAGUUUUGGACGAAACCUGAGAGUUUUUACUCUCGGGGACCGGUCCCUGAAUGGAGAGACCGGUCCCCCAGUAAACAAUGUUGCGCUGUCGGCAAGGCUACCGGUCCCUAGCAGGCGAGACCGGUCCCCGAGCGCGUCCUCGCAGUAAGAGACCGGUCCUGCGCGGGGAGAGACCGGUUCCCGAACGCUGGUUUUUCGGGUUCGCAGCGAGAGACCGGUCCCUUGCAGGGAGAGAUCGGUCCCUCAGCCCGAAAUCUGCCCAGACCGGGCUUUGCAUAGAAUGCAAAGUUGAGGGGUUUUUCUGGAUUUUGUUACACUAGAUGGCUUAUAUGGCCACACCACCUUCUCUCAUUCUCAUUUCUGUCCUCACCCUCAUUUCCCCCCACCAUUGUUAGAGAGAGAAGAGGAAGGAGAAGAAGGAAGAAGAAGAAGAAGGAUAAGGUUUUUGGUGGACUUGGAGCAUUUCUCUCCUCUCCUUCUCUUUCCACCUUGUUGGUGCUUGAGGGCUUGGACUUGGAGCUUGCAAAGGAGGAGAUCUUCACCCUUGGGGCUUGGAUUGAAGCUUCUAAGGACGUUUGUUGCUCAUUCCCUCCUCUAGACCUUGAUUUGUUGGUUUUUAGGAGAUGGAACCCUAGAUUGGGAUUUUAGGGUUUAUUUUGGAUAUUUUGGACCUAGGGCUUUUGGAGCUUGAUCACUUGGAUUAGAGCCUUCCUUUGGGUUGGAUUGGAAGGGAUUUAGCUCUCUUUUGGAGCUUAGGAAGAGAUUUUGCACUAGAGGUGAGUUUUGACCCUAUUCUUGUGUUUGUUAAAGUUUGAUCUUAUAGUUGAUCGUAAUGCCCGUGUAUCUCUUUGCUCAAUACUUUUAGGGUAUUUUGAGGUUCGUGGACAACUUCGUUCGGCGAAACCAGGCACUACGCGACGGUUCGGUGGGUUUGACCUAGUCACACAAUGAGAAAUUCUCAUUUGUGAUGAAUUAAGUAUUGUUAAUUGAAAAAGUAUGUAUAUUCUUGUUAUAUGUAUUUAUUGUGAAUUUUAGAAUGCCUAAAAUGCCUAUAUUGCAUAUAGUAAAAUUUGGACCUCUAUAUAGUAGAGAGUUGCUUGAGAGAGCUUUGGUUUGCAUUUGGCAUUCUAUACGAGACUUGGUUUCAUACUUCUAUAGCGUAAAUGAGCCUUGAUUCAUGCAUUUAAACUUAGAUUUAAUUGUGACAUGAAAGAUGACAAGAUUGCCAUAUAGAGGUAUUGAAGUAGAAUGUAUACGAAUUAGAGAGCUAAUGUCAUCAAGCGGCAUCGAGCUCGGGACAUGUGUGAACCUAGUGGUUAGAGCCAUUGCGGGACUUGGUUUAUGUUGAACAUCAAAUUGCCUAAGUGUCAUCAAGAGGCACUAGGCGUAGUGAGUGUUUGGAACUUCGCUUUGUGACUUAAACUGGAUCUUCGGGAUGCUAGUGACGAUACCAUGUUAGAGACAUGAGGAUUGGAUACUUGAGACUUGGACUAUGCUUGCUUGCCAUUUGUGCUCAUUCGCACAUGCUUGUGAGGGUCGCUCCCUACAAGCCGGCACUCCGGAGUUAGCCUACGCGACUUAUGUUCGCUCGUGCGGUAUUGAGAAGCCUACGGGGUCGAGUGGGACAGACACAUUCCAAGAGUAGGGAUGUUGGGCUACCACAGGCACUUAGGCGGCACAAGCUGGACUACCUUUGGUAGGUCCUUAAUUGGAAAUGGAAAUCGACACGGGAUGAGUUUGUUAUAAUCACUACUAAAUAGAGAGUAGUAGUUGGAUUACUCGGACUUGCUUCUAGUAUAGAUUUGGACUUUGGGUAUACAUACAUACAUGUUGUAUGCUAGGAGACAUUGCUUACUUGCAUUCAUAUAAACAAUGUUGCUAUGAUAAAGGAUAAUCCUCAUAAUUUCAUUAAGCAAACCAUGACAUUAUUUAUGGCUAAGUAGAGACAUAUCCUUCAUGACAAGAUAAUUGUGCAUUACAUAAAUGCCAUGUUUAAUUGCAAGUAAUAGUUUAGCAUUUUCAUUAUGCUUUCAUAAAUGCAAUUACUCGUUAUUACUAUUGCUUUCGACUUACCCUUUCCUUUUGGGGCCUAGUGGUGCAUUGAGCUGAGGUCAGUAAUUGCCCACUGGGAACUAUAAAUUAUAGUUCUCACGCCCUCUGUUUUAUGUUUUCUUUCAGAGCCUUCCACGCCGGGAGAGGCUAGGGACCGUGGGAAGGGCGUUGCUUCGAGUUAGCCCUUCAGUGAGAGACGAGUUUAGGUGGUCUACCUCUCGAUGUAUUUCUUUUUGGAGAGGUUGAGAGCUGUACCAGUGUACUAGAGACCACCCUUCUGUGUACCUUUGAGAUAGAUUUUGUACUACUUAUAUUUACUUUUAUGGUUUAGCUAUGUUUCUUUUUACUCUGGUUUAGAUGAUAGAACUUACUUGCUCUGAUAUCGUUAGUUGCUACUCGUUUUAUUUAUUCUAUUCCUUGCUUUUAUUUUCGCUGUUGUUGUAGACGCCUUAUAUGUGCAGACAUAUGGCGGGUCUGGGCGCGCUCUCGGUAGGGCCUCUGCCGGUCCCGGGGAGUGACAAGAGGUCCCGGCAUCUAGGAUGCAUUGUAUAUUGUGCAGCAGAGGCACAUUGACCCUAGUAGAUAGGGUAUCUUCUUGAGAGGAUUGGAUCAUACUCACUAGUCUGUUUUCGCUUGUCGGUGGUCGCUCCACCGAGGUAUAAGAGUGAGUCGAGGGCUUAACCUACGGGUUAGCCAAGUAGAUUGGGUAAUAAACAUGAAAUGCAUUGUAAAUUUGCAUUAUUAUCUUGAGUAGACAUAAUGUAUGUUGUAGAUUGCAUUGCUAUGUACCUUUUCAUACUCAUGACAUGAUACUAGCAUGAUAGUAGUUGUUGCAUGCAUCAUCAUCAUUGGUGGCAUGAUAGAGUAGUUAUAGUUUAUUUCUCUAUGUAUCUAUCUAUCUUUCUAUCUGUGCCAGCUUAGACCUAGUGAAAAAAUCGGCGGAGUCGGCGGCCGAACCCACUGGAAACUAUAUUUAUAUAAUUUUCACCCCAUGUGAUUUUGGGGUACAGGUACACACAGGGGCGAGCCGAGCGAGGAUCGCAGCAAGGGCAUAACGCCCUGAGUGAGUUAGCUAGUAGCUUUCCUUUAUGCAUUAGAGUACCCUCGUGUACUAGAUACCAUAUAUAUUUGGGAUAGGCAUUGGAGAGCCAUGAUGUAUUUGGAAAAGAACAUGUAAUUACAUUUUGGAAGAUGAAAAUGUAAUGUAACCAAAUGAUGUAAAAAAGUUGAAUGGUUGUUGUUGAACCAAUACGGCGCAGACAGUUGGCACACCGAGUCCAUAUAUCGCUGGAUCGGGAGCACGGAAAACGCGCCAGGGGAUAUGAGCUGUGAUUAUUUGAAAAAUGAUAACCGUAAGCAGUUAUGGGCAGUUCCCAAUGGCAGUUCCAAUCGGCCGAACGUGGCCUUCCAAUCCGGAGAAGAUGGCCGAUCGUGCAAUAACUGAACACAAGGGGAAAAUAUAUAAAUAGGCCUGUAGUACCCUAAAAAGGGGUCUUNGGAGAGCCAUGAUGUAUUUGGAAAAGAACAUGUAAUUACAUUUUGGAAGAUGAAAAUGUAAUGUAACCAAAUGAUGUAAAAAAGUUGAAUGGUUGUAAUAGCUAGAUAUUUUUCUCUUUAUACACUUGUAUUUUACUUGUGAACGUUGACAUCGAUUCAUUCCAACAUUACACUCUCGGGGCUUAAUAGAACAAUAUAAUUAGGUUUUACUCUUUGUUCGAUUGAAUGAGAAAAAGUACUCGUUGCAAAGUUAUACUGUUAGGACAGAACUGAGUAGUCUAAUGUUGUUCCGGUUUUGGUUCUUGUGAACGUUGACAUCGAUUCGUUCUAAAUUUAUUCUCUUGGGGCAUAAUAGAACAAUAUAAUUAGCUUUUACUCUUUGUUCGAUAGAAUGAGAGAAAGUACUCGUUGCAAAUUUAUACUGUUAGGGCGCAAGUUAGUAGUCUAAUGUUGUUCCGGUUUUGGUUCUUGUGAACGUUGACAUCGAUUCAUUCCAAAUUUACACUCUCGGGGCAUAAUAGAAUAAUAUAAUUAGCUUUUACUCUUUGUUUCAGAUUGGAAAUCAUGUGCUCUUGAAAGUCUCGCCGACUCGAGGGAUUAGAAGAUUUGGAAUCCGGGGCAAGUUGAGCCCCCGAUUCAUUGGAUCAUAUGAGAUUUUGAAACGUGUAGGCCCGGUGGCAUACCGACUUGCUCUACCACCGAACCUAUCGGAUGUACACAACGUCUUUCAUGUAUCAAUCCUUCGGAAGUACAUUCAUGAUUCGGCUCAUGUGCUUAAUGCGAUGCCUUUGGAGCUGAGGGAGGAUUUGAGUUUCGAGGAGCAGCCUGUGAGGAUCUUAGCUUGUGAGGUGAAGAUGCUGCGAAACCGCGAGAUCCCCUACAUGAAGGUUCUUCGGAUCAAAUUUAAAUUUUAAUGUAAAAUAGAUGGAUAGAGCAUAUUGAUAUUCUGGCAAAAAUUUGGAUAAGUAUGAAUUUAUUUCUAUUCUAGAGAUAAAAAAAAAUUAAACAAAUUUUGAAUUAAAAUAUAGAUUCACAAUAGAUAUCUUUCGGUUGGCAAAAUUUGAAUAAGUAUAUAUAUUUUUUUAUUUUAGAGGUAAAGAUGAAUUAAAAGUUUGUUUUAUUAUGUUAUUUAUUUUAUGUAAGGAAAGAGGAAUCAAAUUUUUUCCCCUAAAAAUGGGUCUGCUGACAUAUCGAAAUUUGAAAUACGUGCUAGAUAGUAUAGAUAUUAUAUUACAGUUAGAGAUAAAAAGAAUUAAAUAAAAAUUUAUAGUAGAUAUUUUCAGAUUGGUAAAAAUUUGGAUAAGCAUAAAUUUUUUUCUGUUGUAGAAAUAAAGAGGAAAUAAAAGUUUGUUUAAUUCUAUUAUUUAUUUUACGAAAUACAUGCUUUUAUAUAUAGUAUAGAUAUAGAUAGGGGUGGCAAUCCAGCUCGCUGUUCGUGAGUCAGCUCGUGUUCGGCUCGAAAUGAGCUCGAGAUCGGCUCGCUCGUUUAGUAAAUGAGCCGAACACAAGCUAGAUUUUUCAGCUCGUUUAAUAAACGAGAACACGAGCUGGGGUCAGCUCGCUCGUGUUCGGCUCGAUAACAGCUCGAAUGCAUAUAUUUUAUAUUUAUAUACUUUAUUUAAUUUAUAUUUUAUAUAUAAAUAAAUAAUUUUAUUAAUAUAUAUUUUUUAUUAUUUAUUUGUUAGUAAAUAAACAUAUAAAUGCGAGCUAAUUAUAAAAAACUUAUUUAUAUGUCAAAGUUUCAAAUAUUAGAUCAAAGUCUAAUAGAUAAGAAUUAAUAACAUUUAUUUUUAUAUAUAUUUUCUAAUCUAAUUAUUUUAAUUUAUGGUUGUGUGGCCAGCUCGUGAGCCAACUCGUGUUUGGCUAUUAAUAAAACGAGCGGAACACGAGGCUGAAUUUUCGGCUCUCCCGGUACUUUAACGACCAGCUCUGUUCGGGUCGUUUACAUAAACGAGCGAACCACGAUGGACCCCGGCUCUCGGUUCGUGUUCGCGCAUCGUUUACACCUCUAGAUAUAGAUAGUAUAAAUAUAGAUAAUAAUAAUAAUAAUAAAAUAAUAAAUUAAGAUUCGAGUCGGGUUCAGAUCGAAUAAAAUACAAAAUUCAUAGCCCUAUCCACAUUUAUUAGAUUUUUCAGUUCGGAUUCCCAUCGAUCCUUCGAGACACCCGUACUCCCCUGCAGCUCCUCCCUCCCGAUCUCCUCCUUUCCCUUGUUCUCGAUCACCCAAGCCCUCGUCCUUACGAUCCCCAUGGACGGCGAGGGGGGCAGCGGCGGCGGAACCCUUUCGGAGAUCUACCAGAGCGCACGUCGCCUCCUCCUGCGCGCGAGGGAUGGGCUCGAGAGGCUCGAACGGCUCGAAUCCUCCUCCUUCUCCUCCUCCUCAUCGUCGCCCUCGCUCGGGGUCGGCGCCGAUUCGCCCGAGCUCGCCUUCGCCAUCAAGAGGGAUAUCGCCCAGAUCCGGUCACGCUGCGCCGAGAUGGAUCACCUCUGGCGAUCCGUCGCUGCCAAGGGCCAGCGGGAUCUCUGGAAGAGGUAACUGAUCUGGAAACCCUAGCCAUUUCAAACUUGAUUAGGUUUUGCUGCUAUGCUAUGCUAUGCUAUGCUAUUCAGUGGGUUGAUCUGGAGAUUUAUUUAUUUUUAUUUUUAAUUUAUUUUUUAAAUAAGGCAGAAUUGAAUUGAUGGGAAAUUAGGGGAUCGGGGGAAUGUUAUUAUGAUUUGAAGAAUGGUUUGCUCAUGAUUUGGUUUGAUCUCAAGAUCAGCGUUCUCACGAUUAUUAUCUAAUAAAUGUGCGUUUGCUGGUAACUCACCUCGUUCCUUCUUUCUUCGCCUAUGCUUAUUCCGUGUCGUAUAUCGAUUUUGUGUAGUUGUUGGCUCUUGAUUGUGAGGAAUGAGCCUGCGUCGAGCUGACGAAUUUGCUGGGAUCAAUUUCUCAAAUGUGGGUAAAAGAUGCAACCCGCCGAGAUAUUGCUGCUACAUAUUUUAUCCCUUUUUGUCCUUGUUAAUUUCAGUUGGUUUUCUUUCAUUAAUUCAAUUUGAAAUUUUUAUCCCAAUCAAACUAAAUUGGUGGGUAUCAGUAGUUGAAGAGAUUGUUGUCUCUGAUAUUUUUAUUAGUUAUGUUGCUUAUACAAGAGCCUAAUUUUAGACUCUCUCAUCUAAAAUAAUAGGAAUAAGAGAUUUUCUUCAUAUCUCAAAGUCAUUCUUAAAUAAAAAGAGUGAGAGAAUAUAAGAAGAAGAAUCUGUAUUUUAUAUUUCAAAAUAGGAAGUAGCAAAACUGAUAGAAGAAUCAAUUAGCAUAAAAAAUCUAGCCAACAGAAUAUGGGAUUAGAAAAAGAAUCAGCUUAAAAAUAUCCAGAGAAGAUAGAAAAAAACUUAAGUGAUGAAAAUGCACCAAUAAAAGAGGCAACAGUCAACUCAAAUCAAAGGAAAGCCUAAAUUUAAGUUCUAUAAUGUACUGAAAUAAAUUUUAAACUCGUAUUUUAGAGUUAGGAAAUCUGCAGUAAUUGGAGUAGAUGAAGAAAGUACGCUAAUCUUUAGGAGUAGCAAAAUUUGGAGAACAUCUAAAAUAAAAAGAAUAAAAGGAAUAAGAGAAUAUAAGAAGAAAAAGCAUCAACAUUUUACAUAUGAAAAAGGGAAAUAGUAGAACUAAGUAGUAGAGCUGAUAGAGGAAUUAGUCAGUAUGAAAUAUAGUCAACAAAAUAUGUAAUUAGAAAAAGAACCUUCUACAAUCUAGAGAAGAGACAAAAGACUAAGUGAUGAAGAUACACCAAUAGAAGAAGAAGCAACCAACUUAAAUCAAAGGGAACCCUUCCAAAAUUGGAAAUAACUAAUAUAUUGGUUCUUUUUUCUACAAAGGAUUUUCUUUAAAAAAUAUCUUUUCUUUCUUCAUUUUUGCCCACCUUACUUGUCACGUCCCGAGACCGCCAAUUUGGUCGGAUUGGUCCUGCACACAGACGCCAAACGAACAGAACCUCCUCUGUUCGCCUAAGGCUCAGCAACAACAACUAAACAUGUAUAAUGAAAUGCCCAGAAAAAUUUCCAGUAUAUAUGGCUUACACGAAGGUAAGCAACACAAGCAAAUGAAAGUAAACUAACUAAACCAUUCAUACAUUGUAACUUGAGUACUUUAAAUCAAAUACAAAGCUUACAUGUCACGCCCCGGAGACGGCAAGGCCCUCCCGGUAGCGCGCCCAGACCCGCCAUAUGUCUGCACAUAUAAGGCGUCUACAACAACAGCGGAAGAGAAGCGAGAGAUAAUCAACAACUAGAGAUAUCAAAGCAAGUGUAACAACUAAAUACUAACAACAAGAGAAGGAAGGUAAAGUAAUCCACUAAAAGUAAGCAUAAAGUAGUACAAUAAUCAUCUCCAAAAGGGUACAAUAAGGGGUGGUUUCUAUACAUGGGUGAAACUCUCAACCUUUCUAAAAUGAAAACAACGAGUGGUAGACCACCUAUAGACGCGUCCCUCGAAGCAGCUAACUCGAGGCAAUACCCUUUCCACGGUCCCUAGCCUCUCCCGGCGUGGAAGGCUCUGAAAUAAAACAUAAAAUAGAGAGCGUGAGAACUAUAAUUUAUAGUUCCUAGUGGGCAAUUACUGACCUCAGCUCAAUGCACCAUUAGGCUUCAAAAGAAAAGGGUAAGUACGAUAAGCAACAAUAGUAGUAAUAGAUGAUAAUAAACUGCAGAAUUGAAAGCAUGAGUGAAAUGCUAUGCCACAGGUAAACGUGAUGUAUAUCAAUGCUAUCAUGUUUGAAUAUGCCAAUGUCGGGUAAAUACGCUCAUCAGUUACCAAGUAUACUAAGAUGCGAUAAGUAAUCCUAUCAAGUAUACUACAUGUCCCAAUAUCUCAAAGCCACACUAUGAGUAUGUCCAAUAAUCCAACUGCUAUGAUCUAUUUAGCAGUGAUUCAAAUUUAAGAGGUUAUGUUCAAGUUCAAUCUUGUUUUGGAACUUACACGAGUGUAGUCCGGCUUGCGCCGCCUAAGUGUCGGUGGUAGCUCCAGCAUUUUCACUCUGGAAAUGAGCCUAUCCCUCCCGAUCCCAUAGGCUUCUCGAUACCGCACGAGCGAUCAUAAGUCGCGUAGGUCAACUCCGGAGUGCCGACUUGUAGGGAGCGACCCUCACAAGCAUGUGCGAAUGAGCACAAAUGGCAAACAAGCAAUAUCAUCGUCUCAAGUAUCCAAUCAUCAUGUCUCCAACAUGGUAAAAGUCACUUGUAACCCGAAGGUCUAGUUCUAUGUCUCAAUAUGAGGUUUAAUCGUUCAAUCAUUUCUAUGUCAAUGACCAUAGCUUUACUACGUCAAAUCCAAGCCCAAUGCCCCUUUUAUGACAUUAGCUUACUAAAUCACGCGUCAUGUACAUCUAUGUUCUUUGAUUUCAUUACAUUAUGCUAAGUCCAAAUUCAGUCCCAACACUAGUGCUGCUUUAUGACACUAGGUUUCACUUGUCCCAAUUACAUCACACGCCCAAUGCCCCUUUAUGACAUUGGCUCAAUAGUAAGCUAAUAGUGUAAGUUUCAAGUCUCUUCACGGCAUUAUGUAUGGUCCUAUGUCCAACAUGAGAGUUAUGUCUAAAUGCACAUUAUCCUUCUCAUUCUCACUAUAUAAAACAUGCUCUUGAGUCUUAUCUAGAAUGCUAAGCACAUGCAUAAGUCUCACAUGCCACUCUCUGCUACAUAGAGGUCCAAAAAUGUAUUAUAUACAAUGUAGGCAUUUUAAGCAUUCUAAAAUUCACAAUAAAUACAUUUAUCAUGGAAAUGCAUGAAUUUCUACUUUACGAAGUAUAGAACAUCGGAUAUGAGAAUUUCUCAUAUGCUAGGCUAGGUCAAACCCACCGAACUUCGCGCAACCCUUCGUUUGCUCCAACGAAGAUGUCCACUAAGCUCCUAACACCCUAGAAGCAUCAAAAAGUGAGCUACAAGAAGUAAACGAACAACUAUUAACUCAAUCAUUAACCAUCUAGGCAUAGAGGGCUAAACUCUCACCUAUAGUGUAGAAAUCCCUUCCCAAAGCUCAAAUGGAAGCUAGAUCUCUCCCAAAGCAACCUAAACCAAGGUUCUAAUCCAAAUAGAUUAGCACAAAAAGCCCUAAAUCAAAAAGCCCCAAUUUAACCCUAGAUUUUCCAUUCUAGGGUUUCAUCUCCCAAAAUCCACCAAAACUAGGUUUAGAGGGGAGGAACAAGCAACAAACCUCUUUAGAAGUUCCAAUCCAAGCUCCAAGAGUGAAGAUCUCCUCUCUUGCAAGCUCCAAAUCCAAGCCUCCAAGCAUCAACAAGGUGGGAAGAGAAGGAGAGGAAAAUGCUCCAAGUUCUCAAGCUAGAUCCUCCUCCUCUUCUUCUCCUUCUUCUUCUUCUCUUCCUUCUUCUCCGUCUCUAUCUAGGGUGUUGGGAGAAUGAGAGAAAGAGAAAUGAGAAAAGGGAGAGGGUGAAAUGGCCAUGUAGGCCAUCAAAUGUAACAAAAUCCAAAGAGGCCCCUCAAUUUCCCAAUAUUGCAUCAGCUCGGACUGGGCAGUUUUCGGACUGAGGGACCGGUCUCUCCGAUCUGGGACCGGCCUCUCGGCCUGCCCCGAAAAUCCAACGUUCGGGAAUCGGUCUCUCCCUGCAUGGGACCGGUCUCUCCCCGCAUGGACGCGCUCGGGGAUCGGUCUCAUCCGCCAAGGACCGGUUGCCUCAAGGCUGCCGCACUACUGUUCCGGGGGGACCGGUCUCUCCUAGCCAGGGACCGGUCCCUGAGAGUAAAAACUCUCAGGACUAGUCCAGAACUCAGGUUUUCGAACUUUUUAGGUCGGAAACAUUCUACGACCCUCCACCAAGUGUAGAAAAGCUUGAAACACAUCCAACCACUCGAACCUCGCAAUUUGCACAGGUCCGUGUGCUACAUUACAGGUUAUGCAUUCACACAUUUACAUUGCCAUCUCUCAAUGAAUAACUUACAUUUCCUUUCAUCAACUAUAAACAGAUGAAAUAUACAAGGUAUAGCUAUACUCAAUAGAUGUUGCUAUCUAUAGCGCGUUGUCUCUGUCACGAUCCUCAAUCACCCCGCACGAGCUAGAACCUGCAUGGUUAGUGGGGUGAGAACUACUAAAAAUUUCCAGUGGGUUCGGCUGCCGACCUCGCCGACUCACCUACUAAGUUUACUCAGGCAUAUAUAGGCAAAGAAAAGAACAGAUAGUAACCAACUAUAACAUGUAAUUACUACAAUACCUGUACAAAGCUGAAAGGAACAAUAUAUAUAACAGAUGAAAAUUAUGCAUGCAUGCUAUUAAUAACCAUUACCCAAUCAAUCUGGUUAACCAUUUGGUUAACUAUAACUUACCAACUCAAUCACUUUUGUCGGGCCCUAAGCUGCCUCCCGAUGGGACCGUCUACUGGGAAGACUUAUACGAUCAACCGAGUUGAUGACACACUCCGGAGCUCAUCGCCCAAGGAGGAGAGACCUUACCUUGAGCAUUAGACUAAUGUGAGUAUGAUCCAAUCCUCACUUAGAGGAUGCACUGACAAUGCCACACUUUGACUAGCUCUUUAUGCUAGAUUUACAUGUCCAACUCUAGAUGCUAAUCAGUUCAUCUAGUUUUAAUGCCACACAUUUUACAAGUUCAUACAUCUAUAGGGUUCUAUGUUUACUAACCAUUGUCCAACUGUACUUUGCUUUCAAGGUAUACAAAUAGACCACAUGUCAAUCUAAUCACAUAUCAAGCUCAAUCCUAUAAUGCAUGAAUUUCAACUAAACAUAUACAAUCCAUAUAUGCUCAAGAAAAGUGGCGUAAACAUAAUAGGUCAUUCGAUGACUUCGGAAAGCACCACCCACCUUUAAUUAAUGCCGGAGUGCGAGAAAUCCACUUCCCGCACUUUAUGAACCAUCACGACCCUCGCUCGCGGUAAACGAAGCUAAAAUGAGGUUUUCCUCACUAGCUUGCCGUAGGCUCAUCGAAACGCCGAUCUGAGCUUUCCAACGCGUCAGUUUUACCCUCUAUUAGGUUUUCACGCGAUCAAUUCCAACCUAGAGCCUCAAUCUUGCAAAAUUGCAUUUCUAAUUUUAGGCCUCACAUAACUGUUACUACACCACUCUACAACAACAUAUAAAGUAACUCAACUUUAACUAGUCCAAGAACCUCAAAACUAACAGUUUAGAGGAUUUACCACAACCCUCAACAAAAACCUGCAUGCUGGUUCAUCACAAUUCCCAGCAGCCUAGCUUACAUAUAACAUACGUAUAGUUUCAUUAUUAGGUUCCCUAACAACUUUAACUCAUAUACAUAUUGUUAACUCCCUGGUUUACACAGCAUCCAGGAAUUCCAAUUCAAACUCCUUUUCGAUAAAUAAUUACUCCAACUUACCAUAGAACUAGCAACUUAAAUUCUAUAUGCUAUCAACUUAGCAUAAUUUCUAGAUUUCCAUAGCAUUCAAGAUGCUUUAGCAAUCAAGAUUUAUAAUUUAAACUUCUUUAGAGUGUAACUAGCUUAAAUCCCAGCUGAGAAACAACUUCUUACCUCAAUUCCUAAACUUCCUCCGCUAGUUUCCUGCUCCAAAAGCUUUCUUCUCAGCUCCAACAGCAAGAAAUCUGCUUCGAAAUUCUUCUCUACCAAGCUUUUCCUCACAGCCACUACAAGCUGAGAAUUAGCAAUUCUAUUGCUUACAACUCUCUCUAAAGCAAUUCUAAAUGUUAGCUACCAAUAAUUCAUAGCCCAAACACCUCUCUAUGUUAAAUACCAUAACACAAAACAGGGAAUAAGAUCAAUCUAUCCCUGAUUGCAUUUCUAAUCCAUAUCCCAGAACAUCAUGUUCACAAAGCAGUUUUUUUAUGCUUCUACGAGCUUUCACAGCUAUAAAACCCCAAAUUAACCUCUUUCCAAUGUAAAGAACUAAACCCUAAUCAUAACUUGAUUAAGUUUACCUUAAUUCGAUGCUCCAACAGCUAGCUUCCCUGCUCUAAAGCCUUCUCUUCAGCUCAAAACACCAAAAUCUGCACUUCUCCAACUUCUUCUUCACCAACUUGCUUCUAGGGUUGAGAGAGAAAGAGAGGGCGAAAUAGAUAAGAAGAAGGCUGUAGGAAGGAGCCCCUGGUACGUGGGCACCUGUAAAAUACCUGGGUUAAAGAGAUAAGACUGGAAUUUUACAACUUAACCCCCUAAAUAGCCAAAAGUGCAUUGCAGUCCAGCAAAUUUCGCAUGCUGGUACCGGUACUGGCUGAGGUACUCAAUGUAAAAUUCUGCACUAGCAGCAGCCUGGCAGCAGCAGCAAUUGGAGGCCUUUUUGCGCGUCUAGUUCACUCCGAAUCCAUCUAAGUACCUCCAAAACAUGCCAAACACUAUCCCCAAGCUAUCAAUUUAGUUUGGGAAUACCACAUUUACAUUAUUGCUUCUCUUUGAGCAAUUGAAUCCAAGUUAACCUUGUCAACCAAAACUCUCUUCUAAUUUCGUUUCGCGCCCGAUUUGCAUCAAACACUCAAUUACCUCCAGAAAUCAUUCCCACACCUCCAAAAUCACUCGGGAAUGAUGCACAUCCAAUUUAAACUUCACUUUGAUCUUCCAGAUCAAAGUUAGCAUCGCAACUCAAAAUUUUCAGUAUAUUACAUUACUAAUCAAGUGUAAAAACUGAAUGGAUAAGAAGAAGUAGAGAAUAUAAUAGAUAGCAAAAGAACACCCAAUUUAAAGAUGAAAAAGAAAAAAGAAAGCAGCAACAACAUGAACGUGACCGACAACAUGAACAACAACAUUAUUUUAUUGUGUAGUAGAUGGAACAUAUCAAUAGUAUGAACAAUGCAGACAAUGUAAACAACAAUCCAGCAACAAUAGACUUAGUUGCAAUUUCCUUUUCUUCAUAAUUUUAUUAAAAGGACUAUCACCAACACAAAGAAGGGCAAAACAACAAAGAAAGACACCUAAACAUGUGACAGAAUUCAAGCCUAAACGUAGACAAAGACUAUUUCUGAAAUUCGAGAUGCAAAACCAACCUAAUAACAUACUUAGUAGGUCGGGAAAAAAAAGAGAGAACAAAUUGUAUCCAAUAAUCUUCGUCAAACGGGAGAAAGGCUAGAUCUUGUAAUAACUAGGAGGCGUUUCCGGAUCAUCACUAGUUGUUGCUGUUGUUUCUACAGUACCUGAUGUUGCCGGAUGUCCAGUGGGUUCUUCUUCCAUCGGAUCAACAUUAGGGGGAUCAAUGAAAGCGCAGCAUCAAUACUUUCCUUAAUUUCCUUCAAGGCAGUGACAAUUUAUUUAUUUUUCUUCAAUUAAAAAAUUAUAAGACUUUUUGAGAAGAUCAGAGUUCAAAUUAAACAUUUCGUACUCAUUUUGGAGUUCCAAAUGCUCAUCAUAAAUACGAUCAUGUAAGUUCUUAUAAUAUUUCUUGUUCUCAAAAUUAACAUCUCUAACUUUAAAUCCCAAUUCUUUACGAAGCCUCCUAAUAGCUGCACAUGCGGCAUCUCUUUAGCUUGAUUCGACUCAGAAAUUGAAGCACCAUAACAUGUAAUUAUCUUCAUAAAUCGGCUACUUCUGGGUACUUCCACAUCAACAUAAGAACAGAAUCAACAAUCAGCAUCUAUAGUCAUGCGGUAUCUCGGGGGAGGUAAGGAAAUUUGCAAACAGAUAUUACGAAGCAACCGGCGAAAGCUGAUGUCGACAUUUAUGGAAGAAUCCAUCUCUGCAAGAAAAUGCAAGUUGCCGAAAAUUACACGGUGACCGUAUAUUUUAGCAUAGACUUGUCUUUCAAUUUAGUUAAUAAAUACAUUAUCUAUCAAUUUAUACAUAUUUGGAGAUAUACUUACAGGCAAUAAAUUUAUAAUUAAAAAAAGCACAUGAAGAGAUGCAAUAGUUAUUUAAAUUGUAAAUAUAUUUUUGAAACAAAACACAAAUUGCUGAAAAUUACUUACAAUAACAGGGAAGCAAUGCAGAAGCAAACAAAUGUAGAACGACAAUGCAAAUCACCGUCACUUUCCUGAGGGAAAAAAAGUUAUGUUAAUUAAAAAAUAGUUAAUGUCGGCUAGGAUUACGGGUAGAUAAAAUUAAAAAAUAAAAAUAGUAUAAAAAUUUUAUAGCUUACGGGAGAAAAAGGAUUGGGUUAUCAGAUACAGGAAAAAAUGGAUGUCAUAUGUGUUAUUGUAUAGCCGAAUGGACAUGUGUUAGGGUAUAGGAAGCUCUGCUGCGAAACGCUUCACCCAUAGUGGAUUAAUCCAAAAUCGAAAACGGCGACGAAGGAAGACGAAAAGACGAUGAAAGAAGCGGCGGUGAGGGGAGAAAUCCAUCGUUUGAUUCCGGCACCACAAACAGCUAGAAUAGAAGAAGAAACGGUGAUAGAAGAAGCGGUGGCAAGGAAAAGGAUCCAUUGUGCCCAAGGAAGAGGAAAAGGGAUGGUUCGGCCGGAACGUAACAGCCUAAGGAAGAGGAAAGGUCUGACUCGGUUUGGUUCAUGCAAGGAAAGAGUGAACCAGGUUAGGUUCAAGCAAAGAAAAAAAAAAUUGAGCCGAUUCGAGCAGGUUCACCCGGUUUGGUUCAAAAAUAAGAAAGAGGGAACCUGGUUCGAUUCAAGCAAAGAAGAGGGAACCUGGUUCGGUUCAAACAAACAAAGAGAAAAACUUGAGUUGGUUUGGGCACAUUAACCUAGUUCAAUGAAAGAAAGAUAGAAAUACAUAGAGGACUUGAGCCGGUUCGGGUUGGCACCAACACUAAACAAUCCGGUUCGGUUUAAGGAAAAAAAGAUAGAAACAUGUGAAGGACUUGAGCCGGUUCGGGUUGGUGCCCACACUUAGCAAAUCCGGUCCGGUUCAAGCGAAGAAAGGACAUGCUGCCACGUGGCAAAUUUAAGGGAAAUAAUGAUAAGAAAGAAAGAUAGAAAUACAUAGAGGACUUAAGCCGGUUCGGGUUGGCACCUACACUAAGCAGGACUUAAGCCAGUUCGGGUUGGCACCUACGCUAAGCAGGACUUAAGCCGGUUCGGGUUGGCACCUACACUAAGCAAUCUGGUUCGGUUCAAGAAAAAAAGAUAGAAACAUGUGAAGGACUUGAGCCGGUUCGGGUUGGUGCCCACGCUCAACAAAUCCGGUUCGGUUCAAGCAAAGAAAGGAUAUGCUACCACUGGCAAGUUUAAGAAAAAUAAUGAUAAGGAAUAGAUUGUUCUAAUUAAAGAUGUAUGCGUUGAGAAAAGUUCACUAACAUAAUUAAGGUUCCGUGGAAGUUGAUUUCUCUUAUUUAUGAUUGUUUUUCUGGAUUAUCCCUUUAAAUAUAAUGAUUUUGUGUAGUCCUUGGUUCUUACUUGUGAGGCAUUCAUUGUGCAGAGUGAACAAAUUCGGAUGGAAUUCGAUUCUUGAAUGCAUGAAAAAAACUGUAAGCCUGGAGGCUGGAGCCAGAACAUGGCUUUUUAGAAUGGCUGAAAUUACAUGAUUAGUCAUGGUAAUUUGAUCAAAAUUUUCCACUCGUCCACAUCAACUCGUUGUACCUUUGUUGAGAACAAAGAAAAUUUGAACCCUUUUUUUUUUAUCUUAUCAUAAUUGAAAUGACUAAUAUCAAAAGAAUGACAAAUGAGAACCGAUGAUCAUUUGCUCUGAGAAAAAUUUUGUUGAUUUUUAGAAAUUUUUAGAAAUGUUCCUUGAUUUAGUAAAGCAUUUGAAAAUUUUAAGACAUAAAAUUUAGUGUUUUGAUCUUGCGUGUAUUGAUUAGUGGUAGGGGUUGUGAGAUAAUUAUUCAGUAUUACGGUGCUGUACGACUCAUGUGUGGUAAAAUAAGCCAUGUAUAAGUCUUGUUAAUGUAUAACGACUGAUGGUUCUUGCGCAUUUGAGAUGUAGUGCAUGCACUUUUGAUACGUUAUAUGAUCAAUGCACUAAGCUGCUCUAUCAUUAUCUGGGUUUUGAGUGCAGUUCAACUAAUUUUUGCUCAAAGUAGGUUUUCUUCAACCAAAUGGAGAGAAUGUUAAGGACGCUUUAGUUGUGAUUAGCAGGAAAAAACAAGGAAAAGAAAAAGAGAGACAGGUUGCCGCACACUAUUUAACUCGUUUUCUUUGCUUUGUAAUUAGAUAUGCACAAUACUGUUCGUGCUCUUUGGCAAGCAUCUAACAAAUUUUGAGGCUUUUUGCAUUUUGCUGUAAACCAAUGCCUAUAAUCUAAAACACUACGUACUGAUCCAAGUACUAGCUUAUCAAAUAAUAUGUGCUCAACUUUGUCUAUCUCCUUUUGCCUAUAGUUGGAUUAUCUUUAUUAAGGCCGUACUAACAGCAGUGACAGGUAUUCUGUAUUAUGGGAAAUUAUUUUGGGCAUGUUGACACUGUAUAUUCUAAUUGGUAGCAUCUAUAGCCUUCUGUCCUCUCCUGAAAAUCACAAAGUGCAAUCAGCCUGAAUCUACAUUAUCUGUCACUAAGUCGUGGUAUAAACUAUUUUGCAUUUUGUGUUACAUUCCUUACGCCUACUUUGUUCUCCCAUUAUCAUGUUCCACCUUUUGACGAACUCAAAAUUAAAUGUGAAAAUAACAUUCCUUCUUGGUGGACUUUCAUAUUGCUUAAACUGUACUUUGCUGGAGCUUAUGGAUUAUUUCUCUUCUUUAGCCUGUGGGACCCAUGCUUCUUAGUGCUCUCCUUAAAAUUGGUUCUAUUCUUAUCAUUUAACCGGUUUGUUGUUUCCGCUAUCGUCGCUUCGGAUUCUAUGGGCCCUGAGCGCGGAGGUUCCUUCUCCUUUCCCGACCAUUUCCUCUCUUCGCCGCCUUGGUUUCUUGCAUCUGUUGAAGUCGAAGAGUUGUUCUAUGCCAUUUCUCCUACCUGCCUUUGCGUAUGUAAUUCAGUCUCGCUUCCGCGAUCUCUGCUCCUCUAUAUAAGGUGGAGAGGGAAGGGAGACAUCCUUAGGCGUAGUCUAAAACCCUAGUGCCACCCUUCCUCGCGAUCAGUGACGGCGCCUCUUGGCUCUCUCUCCCUCUUUGUGAUCUGAUUAAGGUUCGGUUGAGCUACUUGAGGGCUCACAGUGCGAUUUGGGGCGUCUUGUGGGGAUCGGAUCGCUUUAUCCCUCAAACUUUUAGGUAAGUUUUGCAAAUUUAGCUGAAGAAUCUCACUUGAAGAACAUUUUUUUUCCUCUCUUUAUGAUCCUUUUGAGGUUUAUGUUGCUAUAAUUUUGGGUUUGGAGCUUGAAUCCUUUGGCAUCGAUCUGAUCGGUUUUUCUUUUUUUAUUUUGUGCAAACUAUAAAUUAAUUUGUCCACAAGUUUAAUACCCUAUGAAGAAUCUGACAUCAAGGAGCUGUUAAUGUGCUCUUCUAGCAUAUUCGUGGAUCAAAAGAUAGAGUUUUGGUGCUAUUAUUGAUGGUAUUAUGUCUUUUUGAUGCAAUUUAAUUGUAAAUAAGUGCAAUUUCAAAGGAUGCAUGUAUGAAUACAUUCCUAUAAACUUGCAUAGAUAUAGAUAUAAACUUCUCUACACUUCUUUAGUUAUUUAGNCCGAAUUAGUUUAUCGAAACCAUGUGCAGUCAACACAACAGAUAACCACAUAAAAACACAUAAUAAAUAAAUAAAUGAUUAACUAAAUAACUAAAUAAGUGCAAUUUCAAAGGAUGCAUGUAUGAAUACAUUCCUAUAAACUUGCAUAGAUAUAGAUAUAAACUUCUCUACACUUCUUUAGUUAUUUAGUUAAUCAUUUAUUUAUUUAUUAUGUGUUUUUAUGUGGUUAUCUGUUGUGUUGACUGCACAUGGUUUCGAUAAACUAAUUCGGUAUCAAGUAUUUACUGAUUGAAUGUUUAGUAGAGAAAACAAAUAUGAAUUUUUGAUGGGUGUCCAAAAUUUUUGUUGUGUUGAAUGUACAGAGUUUUGGGAUUUGGAAAAAUAUGUUUAAGCGUUAUUGAAGAACGGAUCUUUGUUAUUUUAUUGUUCAGCUACUGGUUUGUAUGUGUUUGAUGAAAUGCCGAUUUGAAACUUAAUUCAAUAUAAAGAAAAUGCCUAUAUUUUUCCGCAUCCUUACAUUUUGAUUUUUUUAUUUUAUAGCAUGAAGAGGUGGUGAUAAAUUAUAUAAUCAGAUUAUCUGAAAAUUAAAAUACGGAUUAUGCGGUAAAUAGUUGAAUUUCCUUUUAAUUGGGCACCUCCUGUUAUUUUCUUUGAGUUAUUUAAAGUUCCAUAUCAGGAAUUGAAUAGCAAGAAAAGGUUGGAUGCAACCAACACUAUUAUUUAAGGUAGUUUGGAUGCAGGUGCUGUGGACAUUCAUUCUUGAAUGGAAUUUAUUUAAGCAUUGGUAAGAGAGGAUAAAUUGAUCUUUUGUAGGGUGGGUGGCAUUGGAUUAAGUUGAUAUUUUAUAGGGUGGGUAGCAUGCGAUUAUUUUCUUUGCAGUCGCCAUAAUAAAAUGAGUGCUACUUAGGUUGAGCGAUAUGUUGAUUAUUAAAACAAAAUGGUGGACUUGGAGAUAGCAAGGAAUUUGAAAAUCAUCUAUCAUCAUUUCUAAACAUGUAAUUGGUUCUGAUUGGUUGGCCCAAUUUGAAACCUUGAUGAGUCCGUAUAUUUGUAUACUGGAGCUAAUUCGACUAUACGCUGAAAUAAGAAAAACUUACUAUGAUGGUGGUUCGCAUUAAGAUUGGUUGGAUGGCAUCAUUCAUGUCAAAUGCAGCACUAUGCAGUAAACUGAGGACCGUAUCACCUGAGCCGUUCUCAUAUUCAAAUGCUCAGAUUUGUUGAAGCCAUCGGAACUAAUUAGAUGCUUGAAAUUAUUAAUGAACUACCAAUUUUUAUCUAUGGUUGAAUUGAAUGUGUGGAAAUAGUGAGCGAUGAUAUUAUAGGCUGAUUCGAAUUUGAUCAGGACAUUAGGGAAUUAGAAUUGCUAUUUGUUUGCUGGUGUUAAUAGAGUGUAGACGAUUCAGUAAGUACUUACACUACAUUAGUACUUUGUUAAAAACAGCUUCACUUUCUUUUUUCACACCGCCGUAGUAUAUACAAAUCAAAGAAGAUUUUGCUAACAAAAAGUGUUAUUUUAGAGUAAUUACUUUGUGGUUUUCCAUUCUACUGUUUUAGUAUAAGCUUUGAUCACAAGAAAAAAGAAAAGAAUUUUAUGCUCCAAUGCGAUUUUCCAGUAUAUGUUGCUUUUGAAUUUUUUUAGUUUUCUCUCCCCUUUUUUUGUGUACUUUGAAACUUUUUCAAUGUGUGGAGGUCCUGGCAUUAUUUUCUACCCUAUCUAUUUCUUUGUGCUGGAGUAUUCUUUUAGUUGUUGGUUAUUUGACUAUUACUUCACUGUUUGAGAAUUUCUUGCCUUUCUCCAUAAUUUGAUUGAUACUUUUUUGUGGCUGGGUAUUAAACGAUCAUAAUUUGCCUAUUUCUAAAAGAAAUUUUUUUCGUCGCGCCUUAAGCUCCCUUCUUAUAACUAUCGCUUCAUAUAUUUAACUAAACCUCACUGUCUAUUACUUCAUUUUCUUACUACCUAAGAGUUUUUUUCAGUUAUUUUGAAAGAUUGAAUAAUAAGGUUCUCACACGAUGUUGGUGAUGCCAAUGUGUGCAUUCUUGAUUUUUCUUUGAUUUGCUCUUUAAGUUUCAUAUGGAUGGAUACUUUUUUCUAUGCCUUUUUGAUAUUAUUUUAUUUAUUAUUGAUCUUCUGUUGUUAAAUUUUGAUUUAAAAAAUAUUUAUUUUCUUCAUCAAUGAUGCAAAUCAGUAUUUGACCGUAUACUCUAUUGUUUGUAUUUUCUUUUUUUUCCUGAAAUUCAUGUUCCUCAUUUGAUAGUUACAGGAUUGCUUUUUAUAUAUUUGAUGAAUUGUUAUUGCAAGCUUUCUUCUCUAGACUAUCGUCAAUAAUACAUGAUGAUAAAAAAAAAAAUUGCUUCAACAUUAAUAUCUAUCCGCUGCAUCGUGCUGGUACUAAACUAGUAUGUACUUAUUGCCGUAGUCUUUACCAUCUAAGCUUCCUUAUCCCUAAAUACGUAAUGCAGGGCUAGAGGCUUUUUAGAAGCUCUGACCAGAAACAGCAAAGAUUUGAUAAUUCUUUACAUAUUAUGACUAAUCCUUGACAUAUUAUAUGUCAUUACAGAAAACUGGAACAGCUAGCAGAAGAGGUUGACUCGCUGAAGGAGAGUCUUGACAAGCAUUUAAUGCGCCAACAAAAGCGAAUGGUCGAAGCUAAAGAAAGGGCAGAGUUACUGGAAAGAGCAGUAAGAAUUCCUUGAUUUGGAAUAUAAAAAAGAAGUUUUAAUAUCAGUUAUUUUUUUCCACCUGCAUAGUUGUUGGUCCUCUAUGAAAUAAGGAUAAUUUGGCUUGCUGUUUUAAUGGAAUAUUAGAGGUUAUAUGUAUGAUUGAUUGCAAUGAAUGGAUUCAACAUGGUUGUUGCAGAAUGGGGACUCCUCUCACGUUCUGAGGAUAUUUGAUGAGGAAGCACAAGCAAUGCAAUCAGCUCGAAACUCCUCCAUAAUGCUUGAGGAAGCUUAUGCCACUGGAGUGGCUAUUCUAUCGAAGUAUGCCGACCAGAGGGACCGCUUGAAGGUAAUUACUGAUCACCUACUUGUAUGAGACAUUCUCAAAAUCAGAGAUCAGCAUGAAUUUAAUCGACUUGAGCUUAUCUGAGACCAAAUAUAAUCAAUUUGCAAGUUAGGUCCCAUGUGGAAAAAAUAGGGCCUGUUUGAAUGCAUUGAUAUCUUGUUUAAUGUGCUUCUUUCAUUUCCUUUAGCUGGCAUGUCGUAAUUGGUUGAUGCGGUGUUGUACUAAUGUCUACCGCAGUAUAAUAUAACUUACCUUUAAAUGAUUAAUAUGAUAAAUCACAUAACAGGUGGUACUUGCUAUGUGGAAAAGAUGGAAGAAUCAAAUAUUUCAUGAUAGUUAAGAAUGUAACUCGAAAGUGGUGAUCACAAAAGAAAAACAAAAAAUCACCAUACUACACCAGAUCUCAAUUGGAUGACAUGUUGUGGCAUCCAAAUAGACCCAAGUGUCGAAAUAAGUUUGAACGUCGAGUUCUCCUUGGACUACUAGAUGUUCUUUUCUUUACUGAUAACUGAUUUCUGUGUCUGCAGAGAGCACAAAGGAAAGCGUUGGACAUCCUUAAUACGGUGGGUCUGUCUAAUUCUGUCUUAAAGCUUAUUGAGAGGCGUCAUCGUGUAGACAAAUGGAUUGCUUAUGCCGGUAUGAUCAUUACGAUUGUGGUGGUAUAUGCAUUUUGGAGGUGGACACAUUGACUGUAAUUAUUAGUGUGAUAUCUGAGAGAACCAGCAAACAAUUGUUACUGAGGAUGGUACUCGGAAUAUUCAUUUGGACUUUCCAUUGGCCGAUUGUUGAAGUUGUAUCUUCGCAAAACUAGUCUUUAUAUGUAGGUUUUUAUCAUUUUUUUUUUGAAAAGGGUGACAUUGUAUAUGUUUGUGACCUUUUUCUUUGGGUUUUCUAGUGCAAUAGUCUUCUCCUAAAAUUUUAUUUUAAAAAUAGAUCUGUUUAAUUUUUAUUUAUAAAUAUGGUUAAAAGCGGUGAACUAUUCACCACAUUCUUUUUUUUUCUCACUUCUCAUUAUAUUUCUAUGAUAGUAAAAGCGGUGAAUGGUUCACCACUUUUAUUCUUUUUCUACUCCCAAUGAGGAGUUAUGAAUGCGGUGAAUCAUUCACCGCAUUUAGAGAUCUAUUUUUAUAAUUAAUUUUUAAAAAAAAUUUAUUUUUAUAAUUAUAAAAAUCAAUAGGAUUAUUUAUAAAAUUUUUUUUUUCCUUUUCCUUUUUCCCUUCCCUAGAGUAGGAAUUGGAUUGUAGACUUGCAACAUGCUAUUUGGGACUUACUAUUUAUUUGCACGGCAUGUGCAAGUUGGUUGAAGAUGUUGGGAAUCACCGUUGUAGCAAAGCAAAAGCGAAACGCAAAAGUCUAGACCUUACACCAUUAAGAAAGACAAGCAUGUAAGCAGCAGAGCGGGGAAGACAGCAGAUUUGUUGUUCCAAAUGUUUAAUCUUGUUUUUAUUUCAGUCAAGUUUCCAUCGAAUAUUGGACAUCAAUUAGUCUCGCACGGACCUGUAACAAUUGUAAAUAAUAAUUUUUUAAAAAAGCAGUGUCGACAACAAUUGUUGGAGAAGAAAAAAAUAGAAGUUACAUAGGUUGAUUCAGUAGAUAUAUACAGGUUGCUUCAGUAGAAAAAAAAGCAGUGUCGACAACAAGUCAUAAUUCUCAUCCGCUUUUAUGUUAUCUUUUCAUACAGGUGAUGUAUUCGAUGAUGAAGAGCAAAUAAUGGGGCAAAUCAACACUAACGUAGAAGUUAAAUAUCCCUAAAUUUUGUUAAUAACGUGUUUGAGGUGAAAAAAAAAAAUUAAAAAUGAUGAAUAGAAUGUUGAACUUGUAGAAUAUUAUUUUUGAUGUGUGUAUUAAGUAAACCUUAUAUAAAUAGUAUAAUAAUAAAAUGUUGUAUUGUUAUGUAAGCUUUAUUUUACUCAAAAAAGGAAGCAGAAUACUAUAGGAAUGUUGUCAAGAUAUUGUAUUUCGUUUGUCAUGUAAUAUUAUAUAAAUUAUAACUAUUACAUGCUGCUUCUAAUUCUGACACUUUACAUGUACGAAAAAAAUUUUGUCCAUGAAUUGGAUCUGUUACUCACCUAGUUGGGGCUUCAGCACGUCUAACGACAAGAAGAAGCAACGUGAAGCUGAAAAUAAUGUUGUCCCCACUUUUGAAAUGGUCGGCCCUUGAACAAUCAAUUGGACCAGCUAGAAACACUGAACAAGAUUGUUCUGGAAGUGGCAUUCUAGUGGUAUUACUCGCUUGAAGACGAAUCCAUCAAAAUUAAAGACUACAUGGAAGAAGCUUUUCUAGCUGAGUUCACUACAGUUGACGAUAAAAUCAAAAUAGCUACCCUAGUCGCUACCAAAAAGGACAAAGGCAAAUCAAUAUCAGACUAUUAUACAAAGGUAACAAAAUUUUAGUCUCAAAUGUCAAUGUUUUGCCGUAGAACCGUUAUUUAAUAAGUGAACUACGUGCAGUGAGUGGAUUAAUUUUGCUUACAAUGGAGUGCUGUGUCCGCGCACUAUAAUAAAUAGAUUGUAACAAUUUAUACUACAGGAGGAAUCAAACAGCAGAAUCCACCAUUCAAUGGUCACCUGCUUCAACAUAGAAAUUCGAUGAAAAGAGACAUUUGCAAACAGAAUACAAAAGACACAACAUAAAAGCUGGUCCCAAAAGGUAGAACUAUAGAAGCUACAGGGCCAAAAUUACACUACCCAGUACAGAGGAGCACCCCCAGUUCAAUUUGCAGCAGCCAUCACAAAAUAAGACGCCAUAAAGUAUAGAGUUUAUUCAAACUGGAGUCCUUAUAGCAGCAUUCAACAAACACCAACACCAAAAAGAAAACAACCGACUCAACAGCGCAAGAUCGAAACAGAACACAACUAAAGCUUGUAGACUGCUAACAUAGCAGGACACUAUAACCUAAUACACUGCCCAGAGCAAGACAUAGAGACAUAGUAACAGUAGUAAAAGACUUAAUACACUCCCAAGAGCAAGACAUAGCAGUAGUAUUAAUAGGAAUAGUAGUAGUAGAAGUUGACAAAUAUAUGCAAUCAUAUCACUCUUCCUCCUCAGACUCUGCCGUCUGUAGCCACUCAACAAAGGGCUUCACAUUCUUCAGCACCUGAGAGCUCUUGCCGCCAGCUGUCCCUUCCUCAUACCACUGUGCUAUGCUUUCUUCCUCCAGAACAUCCGCAUCAUAAAGUGCUUUGAGAACGAGUGCCACCUCCUUCAGGGCUUCUGCGCGGCACUUGCCACAAAAUACUUCGAUAGCUUGGAGCAAAAGCAGCUGAGAUGCCUCAUCCUGCACAAAAGCAGCAAUGUACUUCCUUUUCUUGCCCACCUCCUUUGCAAAUCCUUUGCCAACACCUCCAAAAAGAGCCUCAAAAAGGGCUGUCAUUACGUCCCGAGAAGGCUGACCUGCUGUACCCAGAAAACUCUGAAGCUGGUUUGGGGUAGAACCCUUGUUUAUAUGAUCCUUGAUCUCCCGAAGCAGUGAAUCAUAAGCACUGAUAUUGGCUUUGUCACCAUUUUGGGUAGCACAAGAUUUUUCUUCAUCUUUGAUCUUUCCAUUAGUGAGCCCCUCUUUCUUUGCCUUCUCUUGCUUUUUGUUAUCCUGCUCAGGCUCAGUGGCGGAGAGCAUCACCAUCUCCGAAGUCACAGCAUUAAGCUGUUCUUGAAUCCGCUGCUUUGCUGCCUCCAGUGAGGUGUCGGUUUGCCACUGGACAUCAUCAUCAUCAUGGUCAUCAUUAUCACCAGCAGCAUUAUCACCAUCUUGACUCUCAACAGGCGAAGCCGAACGAUCCUCAUCAGAACCACCACCAUUAGCUUUCUUCUUCGAAACACCAGCUUUUGCACCAGAGGCUUCCUUGGAAGAAGCACCACCUUUCUUCUUCACAUCCUUUUUCAGCUUCUUCUGCUCCUCAUCAGCAGCCUCCCCUUCCUUGAGCCGUUCCUUCUCAGCCCUCCUCAUUGCCUUCUUAUUAUCUUUUCCUCCCUUCUUUUGCUCAGGUGGGUUCUUAAGAAUGAAGGUUGUGAGCUUAUCCCUCAUAUCAACAUCAGACACAUACCCACAGGCAGCACAUUUCAGGGUAAUCAUCUGAGUCUUAGUGAUCACAAUUUCAGUCUCAGGGUUGCCACAUCCGUAGCACUGCACGUACUUCUUGAUGAAGUUCUCGAGAAGGCCAGCCAGCUUGGCAGUGUCAUGGGCUCCAUUCACUAGGGAAGUGCCAUUCUUCUCAUCGAACUUCGACUGCGCACCAAGCUCACAGCCAAAGUACUUGGUGGUGUAAGAGGCUGGCCUGGCUAGUGCUUUUGCAAUGUCCACCAUGUUCACAAUGUUGGUCUUGAUACCGUUUCCUCGGCCUUCAAUCUUCGUUACCAUCUUGGGCAUCUUGUACCUAUAAAAGGCAUCAUCGCUGUUCGAAGCACCAAUAUUUUGCAAAGCCAUAUUUGCUUCCUUCUUAGAGAAUGAGAAACUUGACACUAUAUAGGCAGCAAAAGUUAGCAGUGCUGUUUCAUUCGAGGAGGCCACGCAGCUGUGAGAUGUUGAUUACAGUAGCAACUACCAAACUUUUGCAGGAAUGCCAAAUGGACUCGUGAUGCAUGCAGCCAAAGAGACUCUCGUAGGAGAGUCGGAACCUUUUUCUUGAUGUAGGAGAAUACUCUCCAAGCAAUCCAAUUGAUCCAAAGUAAAGAGAGGCUUGCUCAGACAUAAAAGAAACUUCAAUGUUCACGGCUUCCACUUUGGCUAUGUGCUUGUAACAGAACAGUCUGGAGAUGCCAACUUCCUGAAUAAGAAUUAGACACAUUAAAUUAAUAUUAAUCGAUAUCCACAAGAUUGCGUAUGCAUGAAGAGUGACAAAAUGGGAAAAUAAAAAUUAUUCUGUCUGAGGUAUCAUUCCACUUAAUCAUUCUUCAAACCUCAAAUAAAAACAAAUGCAAAUAUGAGAAAAGCCACUAGCCCACUAGCAAUUCAAUUUAGUCCGGGAAAAUGUCGAAGUAUUAUGAAUCUUUAUUCCAUCAUUUCAUUACCAGAUUAGGUAUUUAUAAAUCCAAUAAAACAGUUCGACCACAUAAUAGUAAUUAUGUUAUAUGUAGUGGUUAAAUGUCUUCUGAAACAAAUUAAUUCAUUGUAUAAAUAACAAAGGAAAGGGUUAUUCUAAUGAUAUAUAAUUAUGUUCUAUGUCAUUAUAAAAAGUGCGGUUUCUAGCUGUUAGGUAGCCACUAUUAAUGAAAAUGCUUAGUUUGCUUCGAUAAUUGAGAUGACGAACUCUAAGCCUUUCAACUUUUCCUAGUAAACUUUGUCUUCUUUAAGCUUUGCACCAUCAAAACUGUUUAGCAUUUUAUGAACAUGUUUUUCUUCAUUAUUGCAGUGAACAAGUGAAGGACAGAUUUCUACUUCACUUUUUCUUUUCAUCCAAGGUCCUUUUGUGUUGAUUUACAAAUCGAUAACUUCAUGCGCGUAAUUUAAAAGCGUAUAAACCUUAGCCAAUCAAUCAGCCUUCCCUGAGACCCAAGUAGAUUAGUAUGUAAAUAUAUAACUACUGACAUCAUAAGACAAAUCUACAAACAAGAUAAUACUUGAUGUUAUAAGAAGAGAGUCUUCCGACUGCAUGAACAAUCCACGAUAAUCAAAUUGCAAGUCCAACACAAGAAUUCAAAGUGCAGUUCAUGCGUUAGACUUAACCAUACGCCCGACCUCCAACCCAUAAAUAAUAAGUAGCAAUCACAUUAUCAGGUUUGAACUUAACACAGCCUAAGACACAAUUCUAGUGUCGAGCUUAAUUAGAGACAUGGGCUUGGCACAUGCAAAGUUUUACCUUGGAAGAAAUUCACAUGUAAUAUCUAUUUGGGAAAGGGAAGUGGAAGAGAUGAUCAACCUAAGAACAAUUGAGCACCCAUAAUAUCUCUAUAAGAAGACAGGAUAAAACCCUAGCUCAGAAAAAAUUGCAUAAAAUCACAUAUUAAAAUAACACAUAUCAUAACUACAAGAUCCGAUGAGAUCGUUUCCGAAUCAAAACACGAGGAGAGGCAAAAAAAAAAGAAAAAAAAAAUCAAAUCAAAUCAAAUCAAAACCAGAUCGAACAAGAUCGGAAGAACUCGUAACGGUGAAAAUCGAUCAACCUAUCGAUCGAUCGAUCGCUCGCUCGCUCGCUAGCUACAAGAAGAGAAAAAUUUGAACGUGUAUUCCAUUUGGGAAAGGGAAGAGGAAGAGAUGAUCACCGCGAUUGGGUUGCUUCGCCGCAGAGAGCUCCUCAGAUUUAACCUUUCCUCUUUCUUCGAUGUGGAGGAAACGAAGAGAGAGAGGGGGGCGGCGGGGUAGUAUUUAUAGCAAGGAGAAGGGGAUCGGAAGGUAACCCUUGUGUCUCAUGGUUCAGAUUUUAGGGCACCACUUACAUUAGUUUGCCCGCAAUUUGCCUUUGAAUUACCUUUUUGCCCCUCCAAAGGCGGUAGCAGCAGCCGCUGCUCAUAGGGGUGUAAACGAGCCGAACACGCCCAGUAAAAUAUCGACUCGAAAAAUUCAGCUCGUGUUCGGUUCGUUAAUAAACGAGCUGAACAUAAGCUGGCUCACGAGCUGACCAACGACCAAUAAGUUAAUAAGGAUUAGAUUGAAUAUGCAUAAAAAUAUAAAUUUAUAAAAUCUUAUCUAUUAAACUUUGAUCUAAUAAUUGAAACUUUACAUAUAAAUAAGUUUUUUUAUAAUUAAACUUUUAUUUAUAUUUUUAUUUUACUAAAAAUUAAAUAAUAAAAUUAUAUCUUAUAUAUAAUAUUUAUUUAUAUAUAAAAAUAUAAAUUAAAUUAAUUAUAUAAAUAUAAAAUAUAUGUAUUCGAGCUGUUAUCGUGCCAAACACGAGCGAGCUUAUCCCAGCUCGUAUUCGGCUCGUUUAUUAAAC
rnacentral:lncRNA from 1 species